GAUUAGAAUUGAUGAAAAAAAGCGUGACUAUACCAAGAAUGGGUUAACGUAGGAAUAGGCGUAUAGGUUAACGUAGGAAUGGGCGUAGAAUCCAAAAAGGAAUUCUGCAUUUAUAGCAAGUUGAAACAAGACCUUUGUAACUGUUACAGAUGUACGAGGUGUCGGGGGGUUUUGAUUGGGCCUAGCUGGUACUUCUGGAUUCAAAGGAGCAGCCCUAAGCUGCUCAAGCUGCGGCAUUUCAUGCUAUUCGUACUGUUGUUUAGAAGGGUAUGCAACGAGCAGAAGUUAUGAGAAAAAAGGGUCCAGGUCUCCAGAAGAGAUGCUGCAUUACGAGCCAUUCGUAGAAGUGGUAUACUAUGAAUGAAGGUUUCGUACGUGAUGUAACACCUAUGCCACAUAAUGGAGACCCCCUUCCAAAGAUGUGUGUAGAAAUAAUAAUAAGAAAACUCCUGGAAAGAAAGAGAAAUAAAUGAUUCAAUGAUCUGAGAAAAGAAUAGUAGAAGUAUAGUAUGGUUCGAGAGGAAGUCGCAGGAUCUACUCGAACACUACAGUUACGGUGUGUUGAAUCAAGAGUGGACAGUCAGCGUCUUUCUUAUGGUCGGUUUUGUUCCCACGCCUUAUGAAAGGUCAAGCCGAUACCAAUUGUAUUGCCGUGCAAAGGGCUUUACUAGGAGAAAUAGAAGGAAGAUGUAUCACACGUGCUAAAUAAGAGAAAGUGCCGCAUUAAUAUUCAUAGAUCUAUGGUAUUGAAGAAUCGGUACAUGAAAUUGGACGAAAUUGGAAAGAAUAAGUAUAUAUAAGUCAUAUAUCCAUAAGAAGUAUUGAUAAGUCAUAUGAAUAUUCUAGAUAGAUAAUAGAUAUAUAUAUUGUGAUAGACGCAUCCAUUUGCAUCAGGGGCCCCGCCAUACAUACAACACCGCUCAUGAUAUCAUCUCACCAACUUCCGUGGAAAUAGUUGACACAACACAACAUCUAUAUAUAGCUAACCUGACGGAACCAAUAUCUUUGUGUAUUGGAUUACAAAUCCGGAGGGAUCGUAGAUAUCGUACGAAACCAACCACUCACUCUCCAAAUAGAAGUUAUCCUCGAGAUGCUGUAUCUAUGCCUGUUCGAAGCAUGCUGUAUCUAUGCCUGUUCGAAGCAUAAUAUAUAUCUAGUAUUCUUUCUUAUGGGCCAAGAGACACUUUUUCUAGAAAUAUGGACGAAAGGAAGUUUCACUCACUCCUAAGAAGAGAAGGAAAGGAAGGAAGCACUUAUUAAGCUUCUCUAUAUUCUAUAUCCAUAUGUCUUUAUGAAGCUUCGCGUCAUUUUAUAUAAAUAAGUAUUCCUUUUUCUACAUGCGGAGGAAGAGGACAUGAAUUUCCAAUAAAAUCAAAGUACGGCCCCGAUUAACUAAUCUCCGGAUUAACUAAUCUCAAUCAAAACUCUAUCUCAAUUCCAUUUCCAUGUAUUUUGAUUGACCAAGAAGAAUGACCUGACCCAUAAUUGUAUCAAAGGGAAGGGUAUUUUACACUGUUAGCUAGUUCGUUGCAAGUUGAAACUAAAUAGAGGGCUCUCCACGCCUACGAUUUUAGGAAAGAGCAGAGUUUAGGGGCCAGAUCUGUUGAGCUCAGGAAAGUGCUUUAGUCAUGUAAGGGAAGUGAGCAAAUCCUUCUCGCUUUUGAUCUUGUCGAUUCCCCUUGGCUUGGCUUUGGCAAAGAAAGCUGUCUACUAAAUAAACCCGGAGCAAUUUCAUAGCUACCUUCGAAGAUUAUAGUGUUACUCCAUUUUGGGUGUGAUCUAGUUCUUUGUAGGGCGCCCCUCUUACUCUGAGUAGGCAUAGAGAGAAAUAGCCCCUUACUGCUUUACUGCUCUCCGCUGCGCACCGUCGGCUUGGCGAAUCCAUCUGCCUAACAAUCAAUCUCAUAGAUAACAGGAAGUAGAUCAAUUUCGGUCUACACCUUACAGGAGGAAGAGGUCGGAUUGCCUAAACUAACCAAUACAACUCUCAAAAGAGCCCACUAACGCUAUAUUAGGUGGUAAAGACAUAAAGAAAGAAGCGUCGCAAUAUAGAUAGGUGGUAAAGACAUAAAGAAAGAUCGUGUCCGUGAAUGAUCGGGUUUCAACGGCAUCCCAACAUGGGGAUAUAGGACGCGUGUAUAGUUCUCAUUGGAAAGAAAGAAGCCACAUAUUCCAUAUCUUUCCCGCCUGACACAGUUUGACACGCAGUGAUACGGCUCAAAAUCAUUAGUCUACGAAGGAAUCUAAAGAGAACAAGCACGCGGGAAAAAGCAAGUGUCUGAUCAGAUCAAUCAAGAGAUAGGGCUUCGGCCAAACAUCUUUUUCCUAAGCUAAGACGGACGAGAGUGAGACUAUUGCAAAAUCUCUUUAAGGAGAGAGUGAAGCAUUCCGCUGGGCCAGAGGCAAGUUAAAGACUAGUAGAAAGAAGUAUUUGAAAGACAAGUAGAAGCCAGUUCAAAGACGAGUACGCUUACGACAAGUAGAAGCCAGUUCAAAGACGAGUACUAAUAAGAUAAGCCUUGAGUUAACCUGUGUUUGGAUUCCUAAGGUGGUAAGUCAACUCUGGAUUUGUUUGUAAUAAGAGCGGUUUUUGACUAUACCCACCUCGACCCCGAACCUUGCUUCACCAUCUUUGAUUCCGAAACUAUUGUAUCUCCGCCUAUCUUUCAUGUCUCUAAAACGGAAACGCUUAACCUAACAUCCGUAUUUUCCCCAGGAUUAAGAUAUGAAGCGGACUUGGAAGUCAGAGAAGGUAUUAGUUUUAUUGAACUGUAUUUCUCACUGCUCACUGGGAUGGAUUUCAUGACUGGGCGUAAAGGGCACGUCGUCAGCCAGCUUUGAUUCUAUCUAAGGUGCUUCUAUGACUAAAGUGUGUCUUAGAAAGGGGAUUGGAAACAAUGGUGAAACUAAGAGGCCUGCUUCGUCUUGCUCUCCUAUAUACUAAACGGACUUGCCAUCUCUUCUUGAUUCUUUACGGAUGGCCGCCUUCUUGAUUCUUGACAGAUGGUAUAUCUCACCUACUUGCCUGAUUCUUGACAGAUGGUAUAUCUCACCUACUUGCCUGAUUCUUGACAGAUGGUAUAUCUCUCUCUUGCUUAACACUGGCUAUAAACAAUGAAUGAAGGAAACCGCUUAUAAGGCCAUAAAGCUAUUGUUGCAACUUGAGUGAGUUUGGAAGGAUAACACUCAAACCGAUAUAGGCCGGCCUGCCUGCCUUUUAGAACGUUUUAGACUUGGAGAAAUAUUGAUUGCUGCCUGUGUGGCUAACCGAACUCCUGCGCGCAACGUUAGUAGUUGCUUGCUGCGCAUUUCUUUCUAUCCCUUCCCUAUCUGGUGACGCUGGACUAGCCGAGCCUUUCUACUCUUGCUGGACUACCUUUCUACCUAUAACUUUCCCCAACCUUCCAAACUGUCAAAGAUUAGCUCGUGCCUCUCCCGGUAUGGAAGCCAAGAUGCCAAUUAGAGCUCCAAUUGGUUAUUGAGAUUGCGUUUCUAUUCAUUUUUGGACUAGUUUGAUUGUACUUUCUUUCCACUGAAACUAUUCCCGUAACUAUUUCUUUCCACUGAAACUAUUCCCGUAACUAUGGGAGGCACUCCUCUGAUACGGAUACUGAUGCACUGCUUGUUAGCGGUAAAUAAGAAAUCCCCUAUGUUGAAACGCGCAUGAAUGAAAGGGUUCUCCCCACGAAAUAAUCCCCUAUUCCUGCUAUUAUCCUAUUGAUUGAAAUUGAACUAUCUCUUUCCUCUUAAUAUGGUAUCGCGAGAUGAAAAACCGGACGUUAAUCAAAGCGAAAAUAGGUUUGGGUAUACUACUUUAUAAGAUAUAUAAUAUAAGAGAAAUAAAGGAAUCCAGAAAGAAUAAGCUAAAGAGCAAAUAAUAGAAGAAAGAAUCAGAGGUGCUAAGAGCCUUGCCAUCCGGGCUUAUGGGUCCUAUUCUUGUGAACCCGGAGGCUUAUAUAGUAGUAAGAUCGAUGCUGUAAAUACUUCACGCUAAUUCUAACAGUAAUAAGUAAGGGAAGACAAGAACCGAUUCCACCUCAAUCAGCUCGACCUUUUAUGCAAUUAUGAACGGACCACUAUCUCGAUUCCAAUGCAACUUCUCUUUUUUGAGCUGACGUAACAAACGUAGUGAGCCUCCCGAUGAAGCCAACAGAAAUCCUAUCCGAAUAUGAAAAAGAAAAGGCAAUUGAAUUAUGGUGGUAUACCAGCCGCCAGUUCUUCCACUUCCAGUUCCAAUCGGAGCAUAUAGAUCCGUAAAUAGAUUAGUAUGUAUAGCCACUUCCGUGGUGCUGGUCGUUUUUCGAAUGGACAAAAAGUAUCUUUUUUCUGGGAACAUGGUCAACCAUAAAUUCUGAUGUGAGUGAUUCUUCAUCCACCGAUGCAGAAAAUGCUCUAGUUUUCCAUGAUCAUAUGAGGCAUGGAAGUUUCUGGGCAAGAGGUCGGCGCGAAGUGAUUCAUCAUGCUCUAACAUUAACCGAUCGCUCGUUGGGGACGGUUUAUAAAUAAUCAAAUUACCACAAAUAGAAUGAGAAGUGGGUCCGUGUAAAUGAUCGAGACCUCGCAAACUACAACGUUCCUUCCCCAUAUGGAGUUCGGGACCCAAAGGCAAGAGUUGAGUAAACUGUAUCUUAUUCGUAUUAGUUGACCUAAGCCGCACCAUUCUAGCUGGGAUGGGGCUCGGUCUCUGAACCGUACGUGGGACGAGUUUGAGCCUCAUACAGCUCGGGCCGAAGACCGGGGGAAGUUUAGGAGAGAUGGGGGAGAACCAGCUGCUGCCGGUCGAGACGGACAGGAAAGGUUACGGGGCAAAGUUCAGAAGCUAUUCUCCUAACCCCAAAAACAUCCCCUAUAGCGCUUCGCGUUCUUUCUAUUCUAUACCAGUCCAUUCUAGCUAUCAUCUUCAUCUAAUUAGUGCAGUAGUAGUCGUCUGCCUCUAAAGAAGGAAGGAAUUGGCUUGGCGGCAAUGGCUAUUAUAGUAGGGGAGCACUUGACCGCCCGCGCAUUCUCUCUCGCCCUAAAUGGAAUGGCUCUCUUAGCUGCGCCCUGACUCGAGUCCCCACGUCUGCUUUUAUCCGCCCACAACCCUUGGAUUUGCCAACACGACUUAAGGGCCCUACCUGGAAUUCUAUGCUUACCCGGUCCGGGACUGGCUUAUUGGGAAGCCCGUUCCCACAGCGCUCACGACCCGGCUGGCCUGCCUGCGGUAGUGGGAAUUCUCCCGUUCCCUGGUAAAAGCGUUGGUUGGAUGCGGGAUCUACUCCACGAGGAGCGGUACGGACGUAGAUUAUAUCAUCACGACCUCUCUUUGCGUACCUUUAGGGAUGCUUAACGCCACUUCGCCAACUGGCAUUACCCUAGCUUUCGUCUCUCUCAGUGUGGUCAGCACUGGGUGUUUCCGAGCUGCGAGGCUUACACCCAUUCGCAUUAGUUCAUCCAAAGUUCCCUACCCUUAUGCACCAAUUUAGGAAUAAGCCAUCUUCCUAUCAAGGUUAAGGAGUCAACUGAGCAUCUCAGCGGCGGGAUUGAAUACCCGGAUCGAAUCAGAGUUCACGCCGCCCACCCGGAACAAAUAAAUAGGAGGCGUGGGCCACAGGUCGCACAUAAGCCACCGGGUCGCACGACAGAAAAACACCCAAAAGAAAGAUGCAGACUCCUCCAUGUGAGAUAGGAAGAUUCAUCUGCACUUUUUGGUAGUAGUCGUGACCAACAGUCAUCAGCAGUCGGCUCGUUGGUAAGGCGAGAGCUUCAAGCCUGGCCAAGUAACGGAUAGACAAGACACUAGGCAAGUCGACAAACAACGUCUUACUUAGUUGUUCGUCAGUUGUUACCGGACAAGCAGACAAGCAGGCAAGUAACUUAGUGUAGCGGCAGGGAGCUUCUUGUUGUGCUAAAGGAGUUGCUAGGCUGUUAAUAGUUGUCCGCUGACGCGGCAGCGCCCGCUCACGCUUCGCAGACUUAUCACGUGGUAUAGAGAAGAGAGAUAGAAAGAAUUGACAACUGAGCAGACCGCAGAAAGAUGAGAAAUAUGACAAGUCCCCUAUGGAUUCGAUAAGAAGGAAAUGCAGAACGGGAACGAUACGAAAUACAGCAUUUCUUGCGGAUGAGCUUCUCCCAAUUAUGUCUGGUAAUAGAAUAGGGCAGCUUGCUCUGACCAACACUCCACUUUGAGCUCUGUCCAUGGAGCGUAUGAAUUUCCUGGAAUGUAGAUAGACCAUAAAAAGGAAUGAAGAGAUAGGAAUAGGAAUUAUAGUACCAUUGGAAGAAGGGGCACCAGUGAGAACAUCUCUACUGACGAACCAUUGAAAUAGUACGGGUGCUGCCGUGCCACGAGGCACGACCAUGGAAGUAAUGAAAAAGAAGAAGUUCUGUAGUUGGACCAUAUACUCUAUCCGUAAGAUUGGAGCUUCUCCCCAGAGAAAAAGAAAGUGUGAACAACACAUACCGAAAGGAGUACCCAUUUGCCGACCAUUAAUGACUAGUUCGAACACCAGGAGCUGCGUUGAAACCCAGAUAGAUUGAGUUUGGACUUUUCCUAUGUUUCCUAAUGUUUUCAAUAAAACCUUCUCGUAGAACUAAUGAAACAAUGUUUUCUGUAAGAGUUGGUAAGAAAUGCUAUGAAAACCCGGACUUACUAUGGUUUCUGUUAUAUUAGUAAAUGCUAUGAGACCCUAUAUAGAAUAUUUAGUAAAUGCUAUGAGACCCUAUAUAGAAUAUGCAAUUCGAUAGAGAAAUUCUAUUGAUUCUAAGGAUAUAUACUGAUACUAAGGAUAUAUACGGAUAUAGAUAGAUAGAUAGAUUAUGAAUGAUCACAACACAAUAGAAAUGAAAGUAUCCACGUGAGACAGAAUACACUAAUUGAUCCAUAUUCUGAGAUCAUACUAUAUAUCAUAGCUAAUUAUAUAUCAUAGCUAAUUGAGAUCCAUAUUCAGAUAUCCUACGACUACCAUAUUAUAGGCGCCGGCUAUACUUACCACUUUCUAAUACCGAAUCAUAGGCUCUACUACUUUAGAAUACCGAUGGAGCUAAUGUUAGUCAAAUGAAACUGUAUCAAUUCCUGCACCAAUAACUAGAGUUCCUUCCUGCCUUCUUGAUCAAUGACAACCACUGCAUUGUAAAAGUAGUAUCAUACCGUUGUCACAUUUGAGUUCCUUACAUUUACUACCAAUUACAGCUCGAAUGACUUCCGAUCGAUCUUGAUAGUGGCAUAUUUGGCACAGCUUCCUUGAUUACAGCAACAAUAACGUAACCUAUAUGAGCCUAUCGAUGAUUACCAGCUCCUAUGAUUCGAAUACACAUCAAUUCUGGAGCGAAACUCUUAUACGUUACAUUCUCCAAGGGGAAUGAGAUAGAUAGAUCUUGGAAGUCAGGUUUUUUAUUGGAUAGUGAUCUCGGGCACGAGUGGUUUCUCUUCUUCGCGGACCGUGAAUGGCCAUCGAAAGGAGAAUUGGAUUCUUAUUAAUAUAGUGGAUUUCUAAGAUUGGACGAUGAGUUUGGAUCCAUUGUGGAAUAAUAGGCUGUGGUCUCGAUAUGGGGCUAUGGACUGUGAUUGCUUCCUGUAUGAGCCUACUGUGGUUGGGCUCUCGUGGGCGGAUUCCAAGAUGUGUACUCAUCUUCCAACAAAGAGGACAGGACACACUGCUGGUCCACGCAUGAGAGCUCCUCUGAUUGUGUCUUUCCGGCAACUCGCAAAGCUCACUGAUUGGUUCAAACCAGAGAGGAGAUUCAGAGGCAAAGUUUCGAACUGCAAGCAUACAAUCCAUCGGUGUAUGGAAGUUCGGUAAAGCUAUAUUCAAUCAAACACCCACUUGGGGAAGGAUUGAGGGGCAGUUCCUUGGCCGAGACCCAUUCAUUGGCUAUUGCAAGGAGGAAGGAAGUCGGAGAACCAUAAAUUCCAAGUUCAGAGCUCAAAUCCCUUUUCGAAAUUGAACAGCUCUCACUCUUGUGCUUCGACUAAAACGAAACUCCCAAAUAGUGGAAAAAGGAAAUCCAAUUAGAGAUAAGCUGCCUAUGAGCAUCAUGGCAUAGGUAAAAGAAAGGAAACAUUAAGUUAUUAGAGGAAGCAGUGAGUCAGCUGUCAAAGGGAAGGGAACAAUCAAGACUAAAGCCGAUCUAGAGACCCUCAGUUAGAAGCAGUCCUUGUCCGGAACCUUAUAGUAAUUAAGGCGAGAUCAUUAUGGAAAUAGAAACCUCACCCACUAUAGAGAAAAGAAAGGAGAGAAGAGAAGAGAAGAUAUUGUAGUGGAAAGGAGAGAAGAUAUAGUAGUCGAAAGGAAAGACAGACUUCAAGGUUCAAUAAAGAAUGCAGGUGGAAAGUGGGAGUGAAAACCUCAAAAGCCAUAGUUGGUUUCUUUAUCCUUAGUGAAAGCCUUGCCUUGUUAACAUGGGUUGUAGUCUGUUAUCGCUAGUGCCAGUUUGCAAGCAAGGAAAGUCUCACUCUGAGUUAGUGGUGGUAUUGGUAUGAUUCAGUGUAUUCCGGUUAAAGGAGUAGAAGCACUUGUUUCAGUCUAAUAGUAGCAGUGAAGGUCCUACUUAAUGGAUUGAUCACUCAUCUAGGAGGAAAAAGCCUUGUUAGCACUAAUUUCAUUCUGAUAGUACACUGUGCAACUCUGGAUUCUUUUAUUGAUUUAUUGUAUGGAUCCUGGUUAGUAAUUGAUUUACUAGUUUUGAGUUUCUCGCCUUAGAAGCUUUAGUGCAAAUAUGAGGUAGCUUGAAACAAGAGAUAAGGAAUGAAAAGCAGAGUUAAGAGACUUAGGAUCGGAAAGGAAAGACAUGCCCUGGGAGCGGGGAGUCAGAUCUAGUGGUUACGUGUUCAAGAAUAGAAGAGAGUCAGGGUAGUAAGCUAGAUUUAGUGCAUGGAGAAGCAGACUGAAAUGACUAAUGGAAAGAGUUUCCCUAGUGCGGGAGGGCACAAGGAAUUACUACCUGCCCGAGAAGACUUCGCUAACUGAUAAGACUUCACUAACUACUUAGUCAAAAUGGAACUGGUGUUUCACUCAAUAUGGGUAAGGUAAUCAAACGAGAACAACUACCCUAUGGCAGUAGUGCAAGAGUUAUAACCGGGCAAGUCCGCUUUAGAUGUAGUCCUUUCCUUAUUUAGUAGUAGUGAAGAAAGCACUAGUUCCGGACGAGUAACUACGUAAGUUACGAGAAGUAUAGCUCAAUUCUUUUUGUUAUAAGUUAGAGAAUCAAAAGCAGAGUGAAGAGACUAAAGGGCUGUAAGGACAGUUUUAGAGUCAAGAGAGGCAGCCUAAUAGUGGGGCUUCUUUCAGUAAUAAAUCCUUCUAGCCUUGACUCCGGAGAAGAAGUCCUGUUCAUAGCUAUGGCCGAUAGAUCGAUCAGUGAAGCCAAGCCGGUUACAUAUCUGCUUCAACUCUAAUGUGAUUUCCAUAAAUGUUUCUUUUUGCUUUAGGCGCAACUGCAUUGGCUAUUUACGAGGUAAGGACGGCCUACUCUAACGCUUCUUCAAUAAACGCAGGUGUGAAGCAUAUGUUUUUCGAGAUCCAUUACUUUAUUAGUGAAAAGCAAGCUAGGCCCCCAAUAAACUCACUAUUCCUUAGGUAAACCAUAGCACAGCUUCGUUCCAAGCCUUCCACGGAGACUAAGGCAAUCAUAGAUCAUAGCUACGUCUGAAGGCAAGCAAUGAAGUAGUUAAAGUGCAAUAAGGUCUAAUUCCAUCAGUGCUCAAGCCCUAUUGUCUUCCUCGCUGUCUACUCCUAUAGUAAUGAGUUGAAAUCCCGUGUUUCUACUUUGAUUAUGUUACUAAUGAGUUGGAUCCCCCGUUUACCGUUCAUUCCUUCCAGUGUGGGUUUGAUCCUGGUAGUGAGUAGGUGAAUUCCAAUAUAGUAGACCAAAGUCUAACAACAUAGGAAGAGUAUCUUUAUACGCGCAUUUAUUAGAUUGAUUUAUGAGAGAGAGCCCUCUGCUUGCUUAUUUCAUUAUGAGGUACGAUGUAGUGAUCUACUAAUAGGAAUAAGAGUCUAUGGGUAUGACCAAUAGGAAUAAGAAUAUGGGUAUGACCUACUAACUAUAAGAAAGGAACCGCUGAUAAUCAGAAUGGAGUGAAGAAGUAAAGGACCAAUGUAAGGGUAUAAUGCUUAAGCAUGGAACUUGGACUUAUACUCUCAACUGGGCAUUGAAGGAAGGAUUCUCAUAAUGAUACUCCUACAGCUAAGUCAAAUCUCAGUUUACUGGUCAACACGCACCCCUAGUAGAAUGCACCCACUACUAACAGGAGUAGCACCGAGGAAUAGAAGAAUGGACUGCUCCCCUAAAGGAUGGACUACCUCACAAGAACAAACUCGGAACUUAGCCUUUAUCCCCUACCUAUGGGCUUAUGUCUCCUUACUUUUCUUUUUACUUCUUUAUUUCAUUACUCGAUUCAGUAUUCUGUCAUCUUUUAUUAUAUUGAUUUCUAUUCUAUUUUUCCGUGGCAUGUGUUUUAUCAUAUCAUAUAAUAUUGAACUACUGUGCUAGUGGAUCAAACUCCCACUCUACUAGUAAGCAUCGAACUCGGAACUGGGACUUUGACUAACCAAUAUCAGAAUGAGACUAGAUACCCGGAUCCCAUGUUCUUGCUGAGGUAUGCUGCUACUAACUCCUUUGAAACUGAAACUCAUGCCCCAAAGUGCCUCUAGGUAAUGUUAUGAUCCAGCACAUCUACUAGUAAGAGUACGGAUAUGAUCUAGCACACCCACAAAGAAGAAGAGCAAAAUGAACAUAUGAUAUAGUGCAUACAAGAAUAUAGAACCAAUCUACUGAUACAAAGACUGGAGCAAGGACAUACGAGAAUAGAAUAGAGUAGAAACCCCGGAUCAGAGGAGUCAAAAGGUGGGAGUCAUACUAUAAUACAGCAAAGUCAGAAUAAGAUAACAGAAGGGCGGGGAUUUACUUACUGCCCGAUUAGACUGAAACCAGCUGUCAACAAGAUUCUAACUGCUAGAGCUAUCAGAUCGAAAUAUAACCUCGCUAACGGGGUUUGUACUACUUGAACUAGAAAAUCAGACUUGCUAUACGCUGUUAAAGGAAGCAAUUGUCUUACCACAUUCUCCAACUAAUACAUCCCUUAGACUUAAAUCAUUACUAGAAAGAAUAGAACGACCGGGUGCUAAUGAUACUUAUCCCACCUGCUGGGAAUUCUAUUAAGCAGUUUCACAGUCGUGGUCUCCAACUUGAACAGAAGAAGCAACCUAUUAAGUCAGAAUCGAGUAAGUGAGCCAAAGAACGAAACACGGGCUAAUGAGGUUCGAACUCGUACUAGAAAGAAUGACUAGGUAACCCAAUUGAUUGGAUUGGGAAUACAGGACAUGGGUAUUGAGUAUCCGCUUUGAACUAUGACUAUUAUAGUAACAGCAAGAGUAGAAACCCGGGCAUAAAAGAAUGGACCUACCUAAAGCCAACCUUUCUAUCAAGUAAAGUAGGAAAUACAUAAUGACUUCCUGCAGUUUUCACUCGCUACCGUUUUAGCUCAGACUCCUCCGCGCCAGUGUUUAACUCGCUACCGUUUAACACAAGCACCCGAAACCAGACUUGAAACAGCUAACUACUCUCCUAUUGCUCCCGAACCACAUAGUAAGUAGGCAAACAACCAAGCUACUACAAAGACAUAGCAAACAACAAAGCUACUACAAAGACAUAGCAAACAACAAAGCUACUGCUAGAUGAGGGUUUUAAGAUAGAGUUAGUUCGGGGCGGGGUUAACUCAUUGAAGUAACAAACUGGGGCAGGUCGGGGUGUAAUGUAUAUAGAUGUGUGGGUGUCUCGCCUAGUAAAGGUGCCUAGCCUGAUGAAUCCCUAGUUUAAUCAGUAGUAGUAGCAAGAGGUAUAGAUUCUAAGCCAACAAAGAUCUCUUACCUAGCAUCAAAGCCAGUAAUUGACUCUUCAACUUACAAUAAGGGAACUUACAAUAAGGGCUUCUCUACCACUAUUAAUACGAAUAAGGGAUCUACUAAUCAUAUACUAAACUCAGAAUAAGAGACCGGUCUGAAAGCCUAUUAGAAUUCAAUUGAAAGCUGGUUUUCUCUCUUCCUAGGUAAUUUGCCAUCAAACAACAUAAGUUCUGAAAUAGCUCAUUUCAAGCCCAUAUCUUUAGGGUUCGACUUUGCCAACAACAAGAAUGGAUGAAACGGCCCUUACUUAUUUAGGCUUGCCCAACCUGAACUACUAUAUCUGCUGAGCAUCAAACCUUAACUACUGUCUCUCCAGAACAGGAGCAGAAACUUACAAUAAGAGCAGCAGCUUACUUAAGAAUUGUAACGGGGGUAUUAAACAAUCACCAGAACUAGGGCUUCGAACACCCAGCUACCUGGCACCCGAAACGAACUAACUCUAUCUGAAGGCCCGACCUCUUCUCACCAUACUUGAGAACUGUAACUGGCACUGCUGCUGAACCUUCACUUACUUGCAUUCUUACUUGAUUACUUCUUAGGUUCAUUCUGAAAUGACUUAUUCCUUGUUGUUAGUGAAAUUAUGGAAUUCCUACUUAUGGACUACGCCGUUCCAUUCUUUUAUUCUACACCAUGAGUUGGUCUCCUACUUUCCUACCUCCUAACUGCUUCCCGUGCCUCUCUCGACACUGCUUCCCGUGCCUCUGAGUUGCUCUAUCAGUCACAUUAGUUACAAGUUCUUCUAUACCUAUGGCUCUGUCAACUAAUUAAGAUUUGGAAUAGGCAAUAGGCACAACUUACUAUACCCUUAACUACCCUAACUAGUAAGUAAACUCUCCUAUCGCCAACUACUGGACUAGCAACUCGAAAACUACACUUUCCACUUGAAACGAGACUGAAACUUAUAUGCUCCUUGAAAUCACCCAUAUACUUUGUUGUUACUUGCCCCUAUAUUAAAGCUGGUAGUACAGAGUUACUUCACACUUUUCAAACUACUAUGUCCUUCUUUGUCUUUGUAUUAGAUAUGCCAGCGAGUAGGAGCGGGAUCGGGUACUAUUGCUACUAAGUGACUUGAUAGUUAAAGGUUGGUUCAGAAUAUCUUAUUAGCGAGGGCAGCUUUAUAGAUGCCUUAAGGAUAGUCUCUUUGUUCAUGAGUAGAAUUAGGGUAUCCGUUAAAAGCAGCAAGAGGGGAAGGUUAGGAAGCUGGAGUUGUUGACUGCCCUACUGCUAAAGAAGAGUGGAUAGUUUCCGUUUUACUCGAUGCUCGAGAGCUAAUUAAUAAACUCCUGCCUUUGUUUAGUUUACAAAGAGUUCUAUACUAGGUGCUCCAGAGAUCCAAUUGAAUGAUUCACUUCAAAUAAGAGAAGAGGUCAGGUCGGCAAAAGACAUGCUGUUAUUAAGUAAGAUUCAAAAGAUAGGGAUGCAGUGUAUUGAAAGGGAAGUAAUGUUAGAUAGGGAUGCAGUGUAUUGAAAGGGAAGUAAUGUUCAAUUCAAAAGGGUUAACUCGCUAAUGCUAAUGAAAAAGGUAAACAAGCUAUUAUUUACGGAAUUUGAUACGAGCACUCAAUCGGGCAGGAGAAGAGUCGGAGGUGCACCCACCCAGAACUACUACUUACUUACUAAUAACUUAGGGCUUACUAGUAACUUACUACUCUCUUACUAUCUAACUUAGGGCUUACUUCUAACACUGACUAGUUAUAGGCUUACUCUCUUCGGUCAAUCGGUGGGCUUACCUAGUUACUGCCUAGGGGCUUCCUUCUUCUGAGCUUCCUUCUUCUUCUAGGCUUACUACUGACUUGUUUACUUUGGGCUUACUACUCACUUCAGGGAGUCGGUGGGCUUACUAAUAACUAGUGUCAGUGAAUAGAUACCCAACAUAGGCCUGCAGCUACCCAGCAUCAGUCUUAGUGCCCAUACAGAGCAUCUGACCGACCCCGAUCCCUUCCUAGGCAACAGUACCUUUACUCACUGGUUGAAGUCUGAGGAGCACCAAUAUCAUUCUAGUUGCUAGUGGGUCGGUUCUUUAACUACCUUGUCUCAGGCUGAUCGGAUCUAGUUCUAUUCUGUAACUACCUUGCUUCAGUCUUUGACUCCCUUGUCUUAGUCUCGCUACCCUUGCUUUCAGCCUUAGCUACCUUGUUAGAGACCCAUACUAGCGACCCUUGCUUUAAGUCUUGGAUUGGUCAGCUCUAUUCUCUAACUCCCUAGCAUCGGCCUUGGAUUCAAUGGUUUGGUUCUUAGUAGCAGUUGUCUCAGUCUCGCCCUUACUAGCUCCGUUCUCUUAACGACUAGCUCACCUCUUUCUUCCUUUCCUACUCGUUCACCUCCAAUACUGUUACUACUGAGUUCAAUUGCUUGCCCCUGCUUGGUUCAAUAAGAAUACCAGAGUAGUAGGAAGUCAACUAGUUCAAUUAGUUUCAUACAGGUUAGGUUCAUUCUUAUACAAUACCGGUAAGUCAACUAGUUCAAUUAGACCUCGCUUCAAAGCUUUUACGUGAUGCUUCUUAUUCCUUGGUUACCCAUACUUGAAGUAAAGAAUGCCAUCAAACCCUAAACUCCUAAUAAAACAAGAAAAAGGACUCGCUGAAAACUAAUACUAACACCAGAUAGGGUAACUUAACCAUGUAUGUGCUCUUAACAUUUCAAUCUGACUUUCGAGUUUAGAUCAUAAGAAGUAGCAGAAGGAGGAGCUGAAGCAUAAGCAGGGGGUUAGCUCGGUGUUGGGUAUUGACAAUUCCCCAAUUACAAAGUUUUUGUUGGAAUAGAUUUGGAUUAGAUUUGAUUCAAAAGCGUGAGAGGCGUCAGUUAGCAGUCGGGUGCAGGUGCUUUCGGGUUAAAGUCAUAAUCUAGUGUGGUUUCUUGGGGCAUAAGGCUUAUGCUGAUUCUUUCUAAUACUUAACAAGUCUCCCCCGGGCACAAGAGAAAAGAUGUUGUUCUCAAGGUGCGUUGCGCAAAUGGUUCCGCUAAAAGGGAUGCACAGCUUAGCUGUGUCUUUAUUUUCAUCUAUCCUGGGCUCUUUAAGAUAUAUGAUAAAGAUAAGAUAUAUGAUAAAGAUGUAUAUAAUAUUCUUAUAAUGAUUGAUAUAGGACAGACCCAGACUGAAAGUGCUAACUAUAAUCACAGGUCAGUUUCAUAAUGAUUUGACUUCGGAUCAAGACUAAGUGCGGAUGGUGGGUCGGGAUCUAUCCUGGGCUCGGCUCGAUAAUCAAUGACUUUUCAGCCCUAAGCGCGGUCUACUUCAUUUCAUACGAGUCUCUUUAUGUUCUUUCUAUAUAAGUCUAAUCAUAGUGCGAGUCAAGUCUGUCUCUCGGAUAACACAGAAAACCAAAUAAUAGCAUAGAAUUGGAAAGCUGAUAGAUAAGGAUCGGGCCCGCCAAGUCACGGCAAAAGCAUAACAUAUUCUUUAUCAACAUUGAAACUGUAGUAACAAGGUAAACCUCUCUGCGGAAACCUGAGAACCCACCCUAGCGUAACAAAGCUAGUCGCUGCAGGGAUAAGUCCUAAAGUCAGCUGCAAGCGCAAGGCAAGGGCUAGCUAGCACAUCGCAUUAUCAUCGCUAUCCUUGGGUCAGCACAAAAAGAAAGCACCCUUUAUUUAAGGCAUCGCAGCUGACGCUGCCCUCACAUCAAAGCUUUGCUCAAGCGAUUCCAUACCAAACUUUGAGUCCUAACCAUCCAUUGAAAGAAACCAAGAUUUCCGACUGGAUUAGAUAACUCACAACAUUGUUCAAAACCCUUCCUUUACUGCUUUUUUAGAUAACUCACAGCAUUGUUCAAAACCCUUCCUUCUGCUUUUCAAGGGAUCUUUUCUCUCGGACCGGGGACACGAGCGAAGCUUUGUCACACUAGGGCAUACCCUUGAUAUACAGCCUCGUUGAGAUAACUUGCUUGAAACUUGCUGACUACCAAACUCACCUAAACUAGACUUAGUUGACCAGACAUAAAGGCUAUCCGAACUCCAUUAGGAGGCUCCCCAAAACAGGACUAGUAAUGAUAAAAGUGAAGCGGCUCUGCCUUUUCACUCAGGCUCCAGAACACAGGUCUCAUCCGAAAUAAUCUAAAUAAAAGGAGUUUCUCCAAUGGUAAAGAAAAGGAGCUAGUUCACUUAUUCUUGUCGUAGGUUCACUCAUUCAGUAAGCUACCAUUCACCAUCGGACGUGCAUCGAAGGGCGACAUAGCUCAUGCAUCACAAGGUAAUCGGGCAGUCUUCGGGUUUCAUCUGCCAUUCAUGAAGUUGGCGAUCAACAGCAAUAAAGCAUGGUUAGGUCAACUUAGCCUUCAAGUGUACCGUAGCUCGUUCUUCAAGGAUCAAAACCAAUUCUGUGCUAUCGGGGCGCGGGGUCGAGCAGCAAUAGGUGUUUCGGGGAACUAAUUCUUCAAGGGUGGUUAAGCACAUUCAGUUUACGUUACAUAACCAAUUCUACGAGCUACCAUUCAAUCAGUCAUCGUGGGGGCGAUCAACAAGAACAAAUGUGUCUUCGAAGCCCUUAGCCCGUAACUCAGGUCAACUAAAACCUCCCGUCUAUCCACGUAGAGUUGGACAUCGCAUAAAUAGAAAGUUUGGGAAUUGAGCUCAUCAGUCAAAGGCUGAAAACAAUCCAAACACUACUAACAGCAGGAGAACCAACGUACACAAUAACUCAAUACGGAACAAAUACUGUCGCUACUAACUAGCAGAUCAACUAAUAAGUCAAAGAAUCAAUAUAUAAACCCUAACCCUACCGCCGAAGACCGAAUACAUCACUUUAUUUUCACUGUAGUAAUAAUUGUUAUUAGCCUCACUCCUAUUACUAACAACACUCUUUUACUUAUUGUCUUGUCUCUUUGCCUUAGUAUACGUAGCUUGUCUGGUUAUAACAGGUUCUUCUGGAUGGGAUCUUUUUCUAUGAAUUCGUUCUUUUUCUCCCCUGGAGCUGGUGAAGUAGGUAUUAUUUUUCUCGCAAUGACACCUUUUGAAGGCCCAACACGGUUAAGUAGGUAUUAGUUUGAUUGCAAUGACACCUUUUGAAGGCCCAACACCAUACUAUAUAAGUCCCAUAUUGCUGCGUGGACUGGAAGCAAUAGAAUCCUUGGGCUUGGGAGCAAUCCGGGAAAUUCCAUUCUCCUACAGGAGAGCGGUAGUCCACAACUUGUUAUGAGUGCUUGUGGUCCUUUCUUUACUUGAAAUUCCAAUUCAUUAAUUAUUCGAAUUCGCAUCCUGGGCUUAGCUUAGGGAAAAAGAACUCCCGUGUUUUAGCGCACAGGAUUAUGGCCGAGUUGUUUGUUGCUCGGAAUUCCAUCUAGCUAUGCUAUAAUCAUCUUGAAGUUCAAGCUUUUCAUAUAAGAGGGGAAGUUAACAUAUUCCAUAAUCCAUUCAUAUAAGAGGGGAAGUUAACAUAUUCCAUAAUCCAUUCAAAAAACUCCUGACUGCUUCUGUGGAAUAUAAGUCUAAUCGAAUAUAAUGGAAUAAGAUGACUUAAAUGAAACUAUACUAAUUAUCGCUUGAAGUGAGAACUUGCUGAAAGCUCUGAUCAAUACGUCUUCUUUCUUUUUCCUUCCAAAUCGAUUCUGGGCCCUUACCUCGCUCUUUCUUGUGUAUAGAAGUCUAUUCAUCAUUUCGAAAUUCAUUAUUUCUUUCAGCCUUUCAAAGAGGACUGACACCUAUCCCGGAAUGGACUGGGAGCUCUCGCCUAACCAGGAGCCAGGAUGUUUUCUACUACCAUUUUCUAUUGGCUAGAGAAAAGAAUCGAAAGAGUUCCUCGGCUAGCCAGCUCCAAUCUAGAACUGGAAGGUCCCCUUUCCCACUUGGUCUGCCUCUUAGCAUUCCCCGGCCCAGACCACAAAGAAGGAAAGAGCGCGUAGCCCCGGCGGAUCGAUCAGGCUGAAAGAUAUCGACAUGAUUCGAGAGUUCCCCCUGAUGUUGUUCUCAAUCCCAGUGCUAGAUAAAGAGGGAGGUCUACCUACUUGGCCCCGGGGACGGAAUGCGGUAGGGUGAAAAAACGAACCCCCACGCUCGAUUCUAGAGACAUGCCCACAACAGACUGGCCCAAUUUACCUGCAGGUCUGCCUUUAGUAUAGUACAGGGCUCAAUAAAGACAUAAAUAGCAAAGAAUCUCUAUCUUUAGUAGUUUGAAGGGUUCCGCUCAAUCAGUGAGUAUUAGGAAUAGGGCCCUUUGCUUUGAUUAAGGCUCAAAUGCAUUUCAACUGCCUUACAGUAUCCUAAAUUAGAUCCGUGUUUUUACAUAAGCUCGCUCUCUGUUUCACAUGGGUUAAACUAAGCAAAAGGGGUUUUUCAACAGUGUUCUUUCUAGGUAUAGGUAUGGCCUAGAGUGUCUGCAUUCCUUUUUCCAGGUCUAGCCUUUGUCUUCCAUACACUCUUAAAGCUGCCCUGGCACCACUGGAAUCGGGCAAAGGAAGGUAUCGAUGCUUUCAACGAUUAGAUCGGGCUCUCCUAUAGCCCAGCCAAUUGCGCUAGCCCCGAGGUCGAAGAAGCGUGAUUGCAUUCCUAUUCCCACAGACUAAACAAAAGGAUGGAGAGCCUUUCCUGUAAUAGGUCCUAGCCUAGGGACCAAUAUUCUGAUUGGUUUAGGUAGGGCGACCGGCCUAAGCAGAAAUCCUAUACUCGGAGAUGGUCCUCUCGAAGGAAUUGGGACCGAGCAAGCCAAGCCAGUCGGAAGCAAAGGAGCUAAAGCCCAAAAGUCACUGUCUCUAGGAUCUGCCCUCCGUUGGGAUAGUCCACACUGGAUAACUCGUCGAUCGGGCUCUCAUAUUGCGAUCGGAAGAGAAGAUAGGAUCAGUACAUUCUUUCCCGGGUCGAUUUAGUAGACUAGACAGCUUUCUUAACCAAACAAAGUGGGGAAUCGCUGAGAGAAGCGAGUAGGAUAAUGCUGACGGAGGAACUUCAUCAAUCUCUCUUCACAAUGAGUUUUCUCAGUUCCAUUCGAUUCACCUUAAAUAACCCAGAAAGAGAAUCAAGUCCAUAUUAGAUAAGACCAAGAAAGAAAGAGAAUCAAGUCCAUAUUUGUAGAUAAGACCCAGAGAAGUAGAAUGGAGUUCUGAUUAGAUAAGUUAUCCAAUAUGUAUACGUGGUCUCAUAGCAAAAAUAGAACGAACCACUCCCCUUUCUCAUCACAAGCGAGCUGUCAAGGGACAAAAAAAGGUGCAGGACUUGCAGGCAAAGGCGGGAUCCCUAUUGGUAUGAGUUCGGCCCAAAGAGAAUGGCGCCCAGCUUCUUGUUUGAGGUAAGAUUUGAGUAGGAAUAGUAACAGUGUCUGAGAGCCCAACAUGAGGAGAUACUUUAGUUUAGUGAUUUGGAGAGUUGUGGUCCAGACUUAUAUACGCGGUAACACUUCGGAUACAGCCUUUACAGUAUAUUUAGGUUCUCCGUUCUUAUAGCUUUAGUCUAGGUUCUCGGUGCUUGUGUAACGCGAUUGAAUAACAGGACGUCGAAGCUAUAGCGAUCAAGUUCCAAAGAAAGCGCAAUCUAUUGCUACUAGGUGGAAUCAUACUUAACUUUUAUGAUAGAUUCAAGCGAAGGGAAGGGCAUUAACUUCAAUUUAAGAGGAGGGCAAAGUUCCUAUCCCGCAACGGAAUAUCUCUUACUUAUCUGUCUUAUGGGAGGUCCAAAAUCAAAGGUGGCUGGCUUACUUAUUUAAGUCAUAGUUUGUUUUCAGCGGUGGCCCAGGUUUCCCAUCAACAAAAGAUAGGGGAGGGGCUGGCUAGCAGGCCUUUUACUGAAAUGGCUUUCCGCGCGCUCGAGUAUCCAAAUAUGGAUCUCUUGAGUAAGAGAGCUUUCCAAAUAUGGAUCUAUUGAGUAAGAGAGCUUUCCUAAUAGAUAUCUAUUGUGUAAUAGAGCUUUCUUUAGUCUCUCCGGAAUCUUAUUUCGAGCUAAGACAAUCUCUGAUUCGGAAAAUAUCCAUUAUGACUCUGCUCUAUAAAUCUUAGUUACUAUCUUUGAGAAAGUGACCGUAUAAGCAUGUUCUCUCUUCAUCUUUGAGAAAAGUGACCGUAUAAGCAUGUUCUCUCUUCCUUAUUUAUGGUGUGGAAGCCCCUUGACUUGGAUAUAGGGGAAGCAUAAGUAAGCUAACAUAUAGCACAACUACUGAAAGACCAGCAUCUGACCAAUGGGAUCCUGCCGAGCAACGGGAACUAACUGACGCUCCUAAUAGAACAAACACAGAUGAAACUCAUUCACCACGCGCAAAAGAAGGAAGCUAUUAUGCCCGGAACCAUGCUGAUGCAACUGAUCCUUCUCUUGAAAACCAACCGUUUCUUCGCUGAUGCAACUGAUCCUUCUCUUGAAAACCAACCGUUUCUUCUCCUUAUUUGGAUCCGUAUUCAUCUCCAUCUCUAAUCAACCAGGAAUCAUUCCUUCGGUAGUUAGUUAUGAGCAAGUUUAAGGUACCUCUAUUCAAUGGUGAAAUGACUAUAAGGCCGGGCUCUAUUCAAUGCUUGCUGCUUCCUGUCGAAUGGAUUUGAAAACGGAUGAAACUAGCACUAUCACUCGUAUGAAGGACUUUGCGCUCCCUCUAUCUUACUACUCUUAUGACUUGACUCUUCUAUCUAUUCUUCUAGCAGACCUCGAUCAGCACUCUCCUAGCUCAGCACUCUGGUUCUUACCCUUAUAGUGGGCUAUUGAUUCUCUUAUUAUAGAAGAAUCUAUAAUACCUAGCUCAGCACUCUGGUUCUUCCCCUUAUAGCUCCAUCCUAUUAUUCUUCUGGUUCUUCCCCUUAUAGCUCCAUCCUAUUAUUCUAAAGUAGACUUUCCUGGCUUGAAACCCUACCCGUAAUCUUUUGUUUUAUUGAUUGAAGACCCGACCGACUACAGGACUUGUGUCUGGCGCCUCCCUGCUAACGCUCGAAAACUGGAAUGGAAUCCAUAUAUAAACAAAUAAUGAAUCUCAUCUAGCUGCACCCUUGGCACUACUUCAUGGAAUCUCUUAAGCACAUGGUAUAGGGUUCAUGACUCUUUAGUAACGACACUUAACAGAACAAGUUCUUUCUUCAUCUUGAUCGGUAGCUCGCACAGCUUCUUGCCCAUUAGUAGUAGCUUUUCUCUGUUCUUAACCUUGCCUUGCUUCUGAUCUUGUCGAUUCCACUCCUUUACUUACCACAACCGUAAUAUAAGUUAUCAACGGUACAGCACAGCGAUAUCUUAAUUAUAGGGUACGCCCGGCCCGCAUCUAACAUGGAAUUUCAAUUGGACUCUGGAGCUCAAUCCUCUGAUUCUGUAAUUACUAUUUAUUUACUUAACUCCCUUCUUGACCCGCACUCGUAUACUAGGGAAAGUCAAGAACAAAGCUAGUAUGGGAAAGGAAAGUAACGUAACCUAAACCCUCGGCUGGAACAAGCAACCAACAACAGGACUAGUUUCUUGGGGGCCGUCAUUAACCUAGCAGCCAAGAGAGUUGGUGUUCAGUCAACGAAUUCAUUAUUCUACUAUUAUAUAUUGGAUUCUUAAUUACUAUUUUCUAUUUAUUUAUUAGUUAACUAUUUCCUAUUUUGUACUACUAGAUUACUCGUUUGAUUCUAUGGUUUGACUACUUUUUCUUAUACCUGUACGCGCUGGAUUGGAUCAUAUUAUCAAGAAAAGCCUUUCUUACUUAUAUAGGGAUGGGCGCCUCAAGGGCAUGAGUAGAAGAAAAUCCAAGACGAAAUUGAGUCUUAAAAGCAAAGAGGGGGAGUUUUCAAUUGGAACAUGUAGGCAUUGAGUUCAGUAGCGAAAGUCCUAGUUCUUAGUUUAAGCACUGUUGGCAUAAGUAUAAGUUUGGAAGCAAAGAGAUUCCGUUUGAAAGCUCUAAGUAGUAAGGCUGUGGGGGGGCUGUUGAAGCACCUCGCUAAGUCAUGUAAGAAAUGAGAUAAGGGAGGAGUUCCCUGUUAAGUAGGUCAGUCCUGCCAGCAGCGAUAUCAGAACCAACCCCAGGAGUCAAAGCCUAAGAUGCGUUAAAGCAAGGCUAAAGCAAUGGAAACUGCUGUACUAUUGAUCUUAAUUGUAGCGAUGGAACUGAGGAUCCAAUACAGUAGCGAGAGCCUUGUUAGCAGUUAGCAGGAGUUCUAUUAUGUGCCCCAGCUGUGCAAGUAUUAAAGAGAGUUGUUUGAUUCCCUAGGUGUGGGACUCUGCUCCCCAAUUGCAUUCUUAAGUUGGGAUUUCAAUCCCGAUGCGGCUAAGUAGAAUCCCUAUGCCCGGGGUUUACUCUGUUGCUAAUGAGUUUUCUUUUGUGUCAUCAGUUGUUGCCUUCUAUUACUGAGUUUCCUAGUUAAUGGGUUUAUUCUAAUGGUUGUUACACUAGUUAUACUAAGCUUGGUGGGUGUCGGGCAUGAGUAGAAGAAUCCAAAUCAAUAGUGUCGGUUUCAAAGCAGAGAUACGGAUCACGAGUUAAAGCAAGAAAGUAAGUAAGGGCUGCUUUAGCUGCCGAUGGCUAGGCGAGGAAAGGCAUACUAUACUAGUAGACAGGAAAGUCCGGUUAGCUAGGAGUAGUAGCAGCCUUGCCCGUACCUAUUCCAUUCCCGUUUUUGAACGAAAGUAUUCUCGGUACAGGUUCCACUCUUUUUGUUGGUCUUAAUUGGUCUCGUAGCCUAAUAGAAGUUGGAAUUAAGUCCCAAUAGUAAAGGAGUCAGAGCUAGUUCCAUUCUAUUGAAUAAGGAGUGAAGUCUUAGAAGCAGCGGUGAAAGCCCUAUAUUAGUAGUUCUCUCUCUCUCUCUUUCCCAAUCCAAUGAAGAUAUUAGUAACAAAUGAACUAUAGCAGUUUCACUCGCUACCGCGCAACCGACUGACGCUCUUAUUAGCUCGCUACCGCGCUUUAGCUCACUUUAUCGACACUCAAAAAGACAGGACUAGCAGGUCAGACUCUAAGAUGUGGGUGUUAGUUUCUACCUUUUGGGCAUAGGCAUUGAAGGCAGUAGGGGCGUACUAAUAGGCAGUAAAGACGGGCUCAAAGAUAGGAAUGCCAGAAAGGAAUGAGAGUAACUCAAUCAAACCUAGGAACAUAGGGAAUCAAGGAAGUCAACUACAAAGUAACAAUCAAAGACAGGAUCGAUUAUUGUUAUCUGCAGUUAGAGUUUCAGUUGUGACUAGAGCAUUAGGUUUUAUAUAAGCUUGAAACAGACAAGCAAGGCUUAGAGUAUGGAAGGGUAGGUUGAAAGCAUAGAUGCAGUUUCAGAGAUAGUAAAGCAAGGCGGAUAGCAAGCAGAGAGAUAUUAAGAUAGAAGAAAGGAAGCCCGAGAGGCAGUAACGGUAGGUUUUUCAACUAAGGUUCGGGUUCAGCAGUAGAAGAAUCAUAGGUUAACUAAAGAAUGAAAGUAUGGAAUGUAAUAAGAAAGGAACGAAAACUGGAGUAGUCGUUGCUUGGCCCGUUGCUUGGCCCCUUACUUUGGGCAACACCUUGAAUAGCUUCCCUUGCCCACCUCGCCUCACCAGACUUUCUCAGGGGAUAGGGCAGAAUCAUAAUAUCUUAUAGGCGUAGUCGUUUGGCCCCUACUAAAUGCAGUAUGUCUCUUAUUAUAUCUUCAGUAUUUCUCUUAUUAUAUCUCAUUUUCUUCUAAUAUUCUAGGGGAUUCCAUUCAACUAACUCAUAACUCCUCACUUCCGGAGUUCACCUUUUCAACCAUAACUCCUCACUUCCGGAGUUCACCUUAUUAAUAGCGGCAGUCUCGGCCAGGGGUCAGUUCAAUUAAGUAGCUAGUUGCUCUUGUUAGAGUGGAAUUGUAGCCAUUGGCAAACGCCCUAGAGCUAAGCUAACGAACCUUGCUAGACUGGUAUUGCGAAGAUGUAGAGGAUAGAGGAAAGGUGCUUUACUUUAAUCGUGUGGAAUCAUCUUCAGCUAAAGCAACCUAUAUACGGUCACUUUCGUAGUGGCUUGGCCCUUACUCUCAUCUCGUUGUUGUUGAACCACGCCUAUCUCUUGUUAGAUCUCUUUGCUGAGUAACGAUCCGCUUUCGACAGACGCGAAGACUAUAACUCUCCUCUACCUCUGUCAACUCCCAAGCGUAUACUAGGCCCCAAACUCUACUCUCAGUUAAGAACCACUUCUAGACUACCUCUGCUCUGGGCUCGAUGAAACAGCCAAUCUCUAUUUUUCGGCUAAGCUUUUCUCUGUCUUUUUGUUUGGCAACGCUUUUCUCUGUCUUUUUGGCUACUCUAUCUUUCGAAACUCAAUCCUUAAUACGAACAGAUAUAAUUCAGUAGGGCAGGUGGGCGCGCAUUAUUAUUUAGUUGGACAGUAAGUGGAGAGGGUUGUUACUUACUUAUAAAGCUCUAGAGAAUCAAUUCCUGGAGUCUCCUUGUCUGCUUGCUCAGUUACAAAUUCAUUCUAUCAUGUUCCCGUGCUUCGAACUCCCGUUAGUCUGUUUGCCGAACUAUAACCUUAAGUCACAUUCAGUACUUAGGCGCUUCAGAGGAACCUAUCCCAUAAUCAGUAAAGGCAAUCAGUUAAGUGUGUGAAUAAGUGAAAGUGCCAGAGGUCGACCACGCCACUACAAGUUUAGGCGAAAGAAAGAAAAGAAACCAGCGUUAAUUAGUUUAUUCCUUGACUUUAGGUUCUGCUCCACCUAUUACCUCUCUUUCAUAGACUCUCGCAUGCAAAGUGAAAGUGCUGUGGAACUCCUAUUUCUCGUCGUUGAACCCAUGUUUCCAGGUUGCUAAUGGCUAAUUGACCUAUCUUGUCCCCAGAAAAACGGUCUUUGUAAUAUUUCUUGCGCCAAUAGAGCUCCAGUUAGCCUUACUUGUGCUUGUUCCUUUUAUUCAUGUUCCGUUGUUUGUUCCCUAUAGCUCUAAUACUCCAAUUUAUGUUAUUCCAAACACUGCUACGUAUAGGGUUCGGCUGUCAACUGCCAAUAAAGAUGAUUUGAUUUAAGCAACGAGUACCUCCAUUCAAAAGAUGCAAGGUGCUAAGAGCCUACGAGCUUGUUCGGGACAAUCAAUCUGGUCAUAAGAGUCGUUUAAGGCAGGGGAAACUCCGAGAAUGAGGAAUCGUACCUCAAUGAUGGAUUUGCCAUGAGCUCUGUUUCACAUGGGUUCAAGUUAGCAAAAGAAUCCACUUUAUGUGUUUGUCCUUCUGAAGUUGACCUGACCGGGAGAGAUGGAAUUCAUUCCAGUGUUUGCGAGAUGCUACUUUUGGACUCGUAGAUGAAACUCUCACUGGCAAUUCUUCUGCGGGAACUGUCACUUUAAGAAAAGAAUAUUUAGCUGGAGGGUAAGGAUAGUUAGCCAUUGCUUGUGGAGGUUCCCUCCCAUUUUAAGGGUAAGGACACUCCGUUAGCACUUAGGAACGUAGCUUGUAGAAUAUAAUAGAGUGGACUCGAUCAUAAGCGGGAGAAGAAUACAGAUCCGGCGAGAAAGCAGAAGAAAGAGUAUUUGAUAGCUAUAUCCUAAUAAAGAAUAACGUAAAACAAACACUGUUGUCUUGCUUAAAAACUCCCAUACAUAAGCGUUAGCGUAACGGUUAACUCCAAUUCAUUCUCUUAUGCUGCUAUGCUGAAUUACUUGAAUCUCUAUCUUACCCCGAUUACCUUCUUAUAGUAGAUCUAGCAACUUCACUUUGAAUUCGACUUCACAGCUUCUUCUGCUUUAGAUACAGCUGAGAAUCUCUGAUAUCUUACUGCUCAACCUGCUUACUAAAUCGUGACUUGUUCCCUCGCUUUCAUAAAUGAAUCUAGAUAAGAGCUUAGUAACGUAUAGAAUAACUCUGUAACAAUAGAGUACACUCCAAAGCUUAGUAGCAUAAGUACUUUGAACUUUCACUCUUACGCUACAGUGAGUUAUAGUACCCGGUAAUUGCUGACUCCUGACUUGAAUCACGAAUGGAGGUCAAAGGGAAUUGAGGUCUUGCUUGUUUGUUCCACUCAUUUCAUCUAAUCUAAUAUAAGGAAGAGGAAGCCAAGUAUAAGGAGGAGGAAGAAGGCAGAGGAAGCCAAGUAUAAGGAGGAGGAAGCCAAGCGACAACUGUGUUCUUUCUACGUUAACGAGAUACGAUACGGAGAGCAGUAGGCUGAGUUGGGCCAUAAGAAAGGUCAACUUCUUGUCUCGCUGUAGCUCACACUUUGUACUUUAGAAUGGGAGUUCCUGUUCGAGUGUAAUCAUAGAUAGAAUCACUGGUUAAGCAAGAAAGUAGACAUAUUCCAUAAUUGGAAGUAAACAACACUCUUAGGUAUUAAAGACUCACUCACAAACGCACUUAGACUUAGGAAGAACCCCAAACUCACGUUAGCACUUAGGCAAAAGAAAAGAAUGAGAAGCUAGCCUAAUUUAGAAAGAGUCAUAAGGAAAGGUGCUUGUUUGUCGUAAAUAGAGGUUAUUGUACUUCAUUCAGUGGAAAACACCUAUACUUUCAGAAGAACUUCCCGCUGUGCUUACUUUCUAUCUACAGCAUCAAAUCCUUAACUUGACUAUCUGAUUGCCCCAACUAACGCUUCAUCUUGAGAGCACAGAGGUCUUACCGACAGUGGGCUUAGGCUCAUCUCUUGCUCUAGUACAGUAGCUUGGCCCCCUUCUUUUAACUCAUAGUGAACUUAUUGAUUCUUCAAUUCGGUAUUCCUUUCUUUAAGGCUUAGUUUCCUUGCUUUCGGACAGAGCAGAGGGAUAAGAAUCGUGUUGGUUUAGUCUGACAUAGGUCAUUAUCAUAGUUCGGGUAGUGAGCACCGGCACUAAAUCCACUAGCCCCAGAAUGAGUAUUUGUAGUCACCCAGACAACUCCUAACCUCCUAAAUGGAACUAGAAACUAGGGAUCGAGUAUUGCUAACUAACAAGACGGAAAACGACUACCGCCAGAAUGCAUAUACUAAUACAAUAAAUAGAACUUUGUAACCCAAGCCUGACUUUCAUGUCUAUCAGAUUGAAAACACUGCUUCUAAUAGCGGAACUUGUAGCUGGGGAUCCGACUAAUGAGUAAGAGAACGCGCCUACUGCUGAUAAAGCUGAAACCGAUGUCAACAAGAACCAACCUCAAAAGUCAGAAAAAGGGAACCAACAUCCAAGUAUAAGAGUGAAAACACCAAGAGAGAGAGAAGAAUCAAAGAAUCAAAUAAAGGUGUUGAAACGCGGUGUGAAUGAGUGAAUCCUAACCUAGUGCCAGUUAAGUAUAAAGGUUAGGUAGAAGAAUAUGAAGCAUCAGCCCGCCCCUCUAACUAAGCUAAGCAGUUUCAACAGAGGGUCACUCGCUCGCUAACGGGAGUUUCAGUAGGAAUUUCAGAAUGGAGUUUCGGAAUGUAAGACAAGCCCCACUAGCGAACAUAGAAAUAGAAUCCCCUUUAAGUCAGCCACUCGAGUUUCCGUUUUCACUUUCACAGUUUGUAGUUAACAUUUGAUAGGACGCCUUAAAAGAAAAAGACCACCCAUGCGAGCAUAAUUCAUAGAGAAAGCAAUUGCUCAUGCGCUGAGACUAGUCGAUUUAUCAAAUGCCUAAUUAUGAGGAAGAAAUGGAAUGUCCCAUAUUAGAGGACCUUGAUCCACUCCUUUGGAACCAGUCCCGUACUACUAAAUGAAUAAUGCUGAUUUGUUAACCUGCAUCCCCUAGUCCUUGUCCAUAGCAAUAGAAAGAACGAGAAGAACUAAACUAAGUAAGGUAACCUAGUCCUUGUCCAUAGCAAUAGAAAGAACGAGAAGAACUAAACUAGGUAAGGUAACCUAGGUAAGGUAAGCAUUAUAACGAACGAGGUGAAGAAGAAGAACGCUAUACUUCCCCACAAUUCCAAUUGCAUCAAAUAAGAAGAUAUGGGGUGAGAUGUUAGAAUGAUAGUAGGAUGAGGUAAGGCUCACAUCUUAAGGGUUCGGUUCUUCAUCCCGAUUAUCCCGAUAGGGUAGGAAAGGUCGAGGUAAGCUCUUUUGAAAACUCAUUUGUCUAUGUCUAUUCAAAUCAAAACCAAGCACGGUCACUUCUUUAGGCAAUAAAAUCAGAGUUCAAUCCCAGUCUCUUGUGCUAUACGCAAAUAGAGAUUUCUGCCCCGUUGUUGGCAUAUCAGCUUCCAUAGUAUAAGUUAUGUUCCCAACCUUAGAAAACCUAUACUUAAGACCGGCAAUGCAGCUAAUCCGAGUGGAGACUUAGAGCUUUAUUCGUGAAGAGAAGGGUUCGGGAGCAAUUCCAAAGCUUCAACAACAGCUAGUUCUCCCCUUUGCACUAAAUAAUAUACGAAAGAUGUGGCAAAGAAGGCAAUCCCCAGUCUUCGCUCAAGCUCGAGCUCCUUUUUCUACAAAUAACUCCUAGAAAGUAUGGUGGCUAAGGAUCCUUCUUUAAUAGAAAGAUGGGUUCGACUUCUUAUCUUAUUUCGAUCUCUUUAUCCAACUCACGCACAGGCGCAUGUAAACUCCAACUAAGGACCUAAGUCAAGUGGAACCGUUGAACGCGCACCAUCCCUUGCCCGUGAAAAAGCGCUUUUUCUGCUAUGAAUGAAAGCCCUCUCUCUAUCUUAAGAAAUUACUACUUGUGGCCGGAAGGAUCGAAACCACAUUCGUCGCCCCUUUUCCAUACUUCUGGUUGGAUUCGCAUCACAUAUAGAGAAGCCAUAAAGAAACUAUUUGAAACAAGCCGUUCCCUAUCUCGAAAGGGGCCCAGCCCAGGUUUCUUCCUUAUUUGAUUAGUACUUAGUUAUCCGGGUUUCAUGCGUAAGUGAAGUCGACACUUGAAUAAAAGAAAGAGCAGUCUCACCUGAUCCGCCAUAUCCCUACGGAUAAUCAUAGCUUACAAGACCUAUUUCUUUCUCUUACGUGCCAGUACAGGGCCAAGAGUCAGGAUAUACGAGAGGUUGCCCAGCAACAAUACAUAUUUACGAUCUUGCUCGCUUUCUUCUUUUCAUUCCAUUCGAGCUUUGCCUUCAGACAUCUUCCGCAGCAACCCACUCUUGUAUAGUAAGUAGUUUCAUAGUCUCCCCAAUAGUAAGUAGUUUCAUAGUCUCCCCAAAGAAGUACUUUCGUGAACUGCACUUUGCCUAUUUCAUAUCCGCGGAUUAGGGCUAUAUUCCAAUCCAAGAGAGAUACGUGAAGUGGAUUGAGUGUACAAAAAAACACUUAAACAGACUCUAUAGAAGCCAUAGGCUAGACCCAAUAGACUCCAUUAGUGAAGGUUCAGUAUGGUAGACAGAAUUCGUUGAAGUAUGGAAGCGCUUGUGAGAGAAUCUGCUGCUAUUGAAUCAAAUUGAAUCAGCAACCGCUGCUGUUGGUGUUACCGGUCAUAAAUAAUAAGCAAUUGGGGGGGAGCGCACUUCACACACACUUUUGUUAGACUUGUAGCGAUUAGGGGUUGAGCCCUUCGAUCCUAGAAAGGUCGGUAGUUAGGUUGCUGGAGGGAUGCAAUAUAGUUGCUAGCGUAAGAGCGAAAUAAAAGGAGCGAAAGCGUCAUAGGGGAGUAGGGAUGUCAUUCACAGCUAUACCUAAGGAGGGCUCUCAUAAAUAAGUUGGGAGAGGAAGGAUGUAAUUCCGCUCUACCUACAGAGGGGCUCUAUCUAAUAAAUAAGUUGGGAAGGCUGUCAUUCAGCUUUACUUACAGUAAGGAGGCUCUCUUCUAAGGGAUAGGCAGGAUUGUAAUUCCGCUCUAUUUACAGGGGGUUCCUUAUAAGUCAGAGGAAGGAUGGCAAAAGAAGGACCAGAGCAGGGUAAAUCCAAGCCAAUUGCGAGAUAGCAUCCGAACACUUAUAUCAAGAUUGAGUUGAUGAAUCAUCCGGACUUCUUUGAACCGUAAGCGAGGAGGUGCACGCUCUUAUGUCUAGUUUCGAAGCCAAUACACAGACCAUUGACGCUAGCCCAAGAAUGUAUCAACCCGAAUACCAUCGAUGGCAUUAUUCUACCCUAUCCCCAUACUAUGUGCAUUGAUGAAGACAAUCCAUCUAAGUCAUGCGUAGACAGUACCAGAAUGUUAAGUUAGACGUACAGGAUCACCUGUCUAUUUCGAUGUGUAGAAGUUAGCACAGUAUUUCCACUCGGGGCGCCUAGAGCCCAGCCCCUUUUUCACUAUGAUGAAAGGGAAGCGGGAGAAGUGGGGAAAGGAAGCAAAGUCUCUAAGCCGACCAGAAGCUAAGGAGAAGGGUGCUUUGAGGAAUCGUUUCGUUUUAAAGACUGAUGAGCAUAUUAACCUAUUGAUUGUUGGAGUGGAGAAAGUUCUAUCUCAGUUUCAGAGGUGGGCCGCUCAUAUUCUGGGAGUGGAGAAAGUUCUGUCUCAGUUUCAGAGGUAGGCGCAUAAGCGGGAGCGAAUACACUCGUACGGCUCUAUCUUGGCAAAGGAGUUGGGACUGGUGCUUAUGGAUCUUUAUCUAGCCUAAAAGCUACACGGACUCUUACUUUCGAUCAGGUAGUGAUGCAGCGGGCUUACUUACUUAAAUGGUAGUGAUGCAGCGGGCUUACUUACUUAAAUGGAAGCAAAGGUGGGCAUGUAAAAACCUUUCUCGGUUACAGAGAUUAUUGAUCAAGCCAUCCCUCCACAAGCACGCAUUAGGUAUAAGAGAAGAGGACCUUAGCUAUUUAGUGAAAAGACAGGUUAGUUUGUUUGACUUCUUUCAUGGUAUGUAUGGACCAAAGAAGGGGUUCUGCUGCUAUCGACACCCACUAUUAGUAAACAAGCCGACUUCCCUUGACACUCUACCUACCUAGUUGUUGCUUGGUCGCUACUUACUAUAUUGCUUGGCCCUUGACUUUCACAAAUGAACUAGAACCUUACUUGCUCGGUUAUCAUCCUUACUAUCCCUGCAGCGCAUUCUUACGAAAAUGUCCUAUCAGGCUGACUUUGCUGGGCACCAACCCUAACUUCUAUUCUUGAAAUAAGCAAUUGGAUCCUUGCUUUCCCUCUUACUACCCAGUCGAUCAGUCUGCCCUUAAUGCCUAUGUUCCUGCCUUGUUCCCGAUGGAUACCUUAGCUCUUGGAGAAGCUGGAACUAAAGGAUAUUCUACUAUACUAGGUAUAAGCUAGAGAUGCUGUGGCGCAUAUGGUACUUCCAAAUAAGAGGGUACUGUCUUUGGGUAUAGGAAGGAGAUUCGUCGUUAAUCUUAUGGCUUCCGCCUCUUUAUCAUAAAAAAGAUACUGACUUGGGUUUGGUUUCCAAAUCGUCACAGACUCUUUCCAGGUUCCGAGUACAAGGCACUCUACUCGCCCUUACAACCUCUGAACUGUUAUUGCUUUAUUACUUGCUGCGCCGGUGCCAUUUAGCUAUCCAAUUCCACCUGCACUGUGAGAAUCCUAGCGCUACACACUUGGCGGCCAAUCCUGUGUUCCAUGCCCGCUCUAAGCACAUAUAUAUAAGUUUACAACCACUUCCUUCGCCCUUCCCUGUCUCACUGAGCCGCCUCACCCAUCGUUCUGUUCGAUCAUUCAUUGCCCUCCUAGCUCACUACCCUAGGAGAGCCCCACCUCUUUCUUUUAAGUGGGAAUUAUUCCUUUGAAAGGCAUGGAAAUCCACCUGAGCUUGCUCAUCGAAGAAGAAAAGCUUACUCUAUACGCCUUGCAGAAUGGAAAGCCGACGUCGAAAAAGCCUUUGAAAGCUAAACACUCGAGUGAUCAUCGAGAUUUCGACAAGAGUCCUUUCUUUUGGAUUUUGGAAAGCGGAUACCCGGUGUGAUGAUGUCAGGGCCACGUCACCUAUCAGUCUGUCUACUUGAUUUGAUGAGUUAGGAAUGAAAACCUUAGCUGUACGUAAAGGAAGCAGGGUGCUUCAAUAGGAUAGCAGUAUGCCAAUCCAAGUCAGGGAGUCUCCGAUAAAAAACAGAUCGAUGAUAUCGCUAGACAAGAUCGAGCCUCAUCAGACUCGUGAGGUAGGUUAACUAGGUGGAAAGUUCAGGUCAGCGCAGUGGAGAUCGAAUGAUGGAUGGAUCCUUCUACUGUCUUUGAACCGAGACUAUGCAAUUUCGAAAACAAUCUAUAGGACUUGCUGACCGUAACCUCUACUCUUGAUGAAGAACCACUAUUGCUAGCAUAGCACCACCGAUUUCCACCCUCAGGUCUAACAAUUCCUUUUGAAUAAAUAACAAUGUAUUAAUAAUCGAAUCAAGAAGGAUGUCGACUUCAUAUAACCUUGCGACGACUCUAAGAACUCUCUCUUUCUUCAAGAAAUGUCUGUCUUUAUGCUAAACUAAAUGAGUUGGUACCGCCCUUUUCCUUUUAUAGUAAAGCGGAUACAUACCUUUUUUCAUUUCGCAGCUUUUUCUUUCACAACUCUUUCUGUCACAACGGAAAUCAAAACCUAAUGCGGAUCUAAGCUCUCUUCAAGCCUUCCUUUCGGCUAGCUCUAUUCUCACUUGACUUACUUCCUUCCUUUCAAAAAACGAUGGAAUUUCUCCUUCGUAGAUUCUUGCGGCUGUCUUAUUCUUUCUUUCAGCUAACCUGGCACAACCUGCACCAAUCAGAAAAAUAUGGGAGAGGAGUUUUUCCCCGGGGCUCGGGGCGAAUCUAGCCGAUGUGGUGAGACCCUUUCUUCGAGCGGAGGGGUCCGGACCUAAAAAACCAAUGGGGAUCCAGAAUCCGGCACCCUAUGGCACAGCGAGCUCGUCCUCGUUUACUCCCCAUCUGACUUUGAAAUAGACACGUACUAUUGGAACCAGAGGUAGUUCUAAAUCGGAGUAAUUCAUCUUCCUUACGAACUCGAAGAGUACGUCUCGAGGAGGAGAAUACUCUCUUUGUUACUGGAUAAGGAUAAGUGCAAAUAUAGCGCGGAAAUGAAAGCUAGCCUGGAUCAAGCCCCCUCUCAAUCCGAAUCGAACCGAAUUCCGAAAAUCUCUCCAGAAGAAACACUUGGUUUUCGUGAUUUAUUAGCACAUGCUGAUGGAGCACCCUGCCUUUGCCGAAAGGGUACCUUAGAAUCCCGUAGACGGCUUAACGGAUUUCUUUGACGAGAAGCGGAACCAACUGGAUAGCAACAAAGGGUAGAGCCCGGCGGAAAGGGACUGCAGAGAAAUCCCAUUUAUAGAAGAGGUAGCGCUAGAUUUGAGAGAGCGCGGGCCUAAAUAUUUCAAUCAUAUGUUGGGCGAGUCUUGCUUGUUCUGUGCUAUUUCCGGGUCAUCCAAUGGUCUUUAGUAGUUAUUAAGCCUCGUAUGCCUCCGCGACGGCCAUUUAUGUUGUACCCUGAGCUUUGUAAGAGGAAGUCGGGGUCUUAUGGAAGCUGUGAAGUAAGUAGAUAUGGAGUACUCGAGGCCCUGAAGCGGAACGAUCAAAUAGUCAAAUAUAUGUAAACAAUAGAGAGUCAAGGACGGGACCGGGCUAGAGCACUUUCUAUCGUCCCCAUCGUCCUAACUGCCGAUCACUUAGAGCUACGAACUGUUUGAUUGUUCUUGGGCAACGGAAUCAGUAACUGUGCCGGGCUUGGCUCAAUAAAGGGAUAGAUGCUGGCCUAGGAAACUAGGAUGUUUUCCAUGCAUGCCUUGUCUAGUUCAUAAUGCUAUCUCUGGAAUUCGCCGGCUGUGAGUAAGUAAACCGAGUAUUAUCUUAUUUCACCCACUAUUGGUGGAUCGACAGGGAUAUCGGGUAUAUAAUGGGCGCCUUGAGAAAAACCCUUAUACCGAGGUGGGUACGUAUGCAGUGGACUCCCUUCAUCUACUUUAUGGAAUAGCAAGAAAGAGAUACGGUCGAUUGGUACCUCGAUCUCUAUCUAUGAUGCAGCUCGUGCAAUGCGGUUGAUUACGAUCUCGAUCUAGCAAAUGACACAACACCGACCCUUACUUCUGAAGCGCUAAGUGAAUCAGUCUCGGCUCUUUCUUUGGGUGCUAGUGUAACCCUAUAUGGAAAAGUAGUUGUUCAAAAGUCCAGAAUUCCCUGUUUAUGUUUCAAUAGAAGAUGGAGCUAGAUCUGUGAUAAAGUCAGCUGCAAGCGCAAAGUAGUCUGCAAGUGGUUCUUCAAGGGUAGGUCGAGUCAGAGUAAUAAGAAUAGUCAUAGUCAGGUGUUACUUCUUUAUAUGAUCAGUGCACUCAAUGACCUUCUUCAGCGCUCAAAUCCAAUUCCUACAAUAAGAUCUUCAUAGCAAGAAACAAGUAGCAAAGUAUUAACCUAUUUAUUGAUUUCCGUUGACCUAACUGAGAAAGGUAGACCAUACCAUGAAAAUCCAACUUUCGAGAGACUAUUUCUCUUAUUGCUUUGGGACCCCGAGUCCAUAAAUGAAGUAACAUUACCUACCCCCCCUAUACGCCACAUACGCCACAUACGCCACACCCUUAUCCCUUUUCUCUUGUUCCACAGAAUCUGAUGUUUGCUUUGUUGUAAAGGAAUCAAGUAGUGAGUCAGCUGUUCGCAAGUAAACUGCACAUGGCAUAGAAGCUUAUAAGGACACUUAACAAACAACUAGUUCCAUUCAAAAGAUUGAAAAGGGAAUAGAGUUAUCGUAUAAAUAUUAGUCAAGAAAAGGCUACGGAAUCCGCGCCUAGAUCAGAAGCCUUCCUUAUUUUUAUUAUUUGAAGCAGAAGUCGAAGUCAAAGCAAGGCGUUCAACAACUUAAGUCGAUUCAAAAAGUGGAAUACUAAACUAAAGUAAGCUGUAAUUAGGUAUAGCAAAAUAGUCUGAUUCUACAUCUCUAUCUUCGGCUGGAACAAUACUUUCUACUGUGCUUUCUGAUCCAUAUCUUGAUCAAGCAUCUAAUCUCGCUUUUUCUCCUUAUUAACUUGCCAGACUUAAUGGCAACACCACCGCUGACCACUUCUGGUCUUGAUACGAGGCCUUAUUCUGAUCCCGAUCCAGAUUCUAUUCCCGCUUCGCUUUAAGGUUCCGUUGUUUGUGUGACUUUAUCCUUCACCUUUCCUUUCUAUUGAUGCUUUGACUCUUUAUUAGUCGAGAGUCCAGCUAGAGGCAUCAGCGCUACGCCCCCUCUCGAUCUGGAACUUUCGCAAAGCAUCCUCGAAAGUUGCAAGAAGGGCCCUUUAUAGAGCGAUGACAAGCAGGUAGAUUAAAACAAAGCGAGAAUGUUAAGCGCAUAUAGCUAUUUAUUCGAACAUGGGACACCAACCUUUCAUAAGGGGUCCUCCCUAUGGGGUUCUUUGUUGGAAUCGAAUUUCAAGGACUCCUGUCAUCCGUGUCAUAGCAAUGCAAGACCCACUCCAUAAAGCUGUGUCAAUCCUAUUUGUUGUUAGUACUGAGCCGGAUAUAGGAAAUCAGAUUAGAGACUAGUCCAGAGACACCUUUUUGACAUAGCGUGUAAUGAUAACACCCGUAUCAAUAGAGUGAGUAAGAUCUUAUCAUGGUUGUAUGGCUAAUGACGAGUUAUAUAGCUGACUGCGAGAAGCCAGCGUUUGUGAGAGCGGUCUUUCACUAUCAAUCAAAAGUGCUUCCUGCCUCAAUAACUUAUCGAAUGGACGACCACUAUUACUUGUGGGUCUUCGCUCACUUACACGAGCCGCAGCCGGAAGACGAGGCCAUGUGACCCAGAGAAGGUCCUUCAAAUCCUGGGGGACUCCCGAGCUUAUGGUAUAGAUGGCCCCUUAUAUACAAGACAUUCCUCUGAGAAAAGAAAAGAGAGUCGAUCAGUAACAUUAGGUGUUAAUAACAGUAAUAAGCUGGAAUUUACUUGCUCUAGCGAAAACUCUUUAUUUGACUCUAGCUCUUGCUAAUACAAAUAUUAUUAUUCUUUCUCGGUGUUGGAUGUCAAUGUCAAGUCAAUAAGGAAUUCUUGGUGUUGAAGGCUGUCAAUGUCAAGUCAAUCAGGCAAUUCUCGUGCGCGGUCAACUCAUCAAAUGUGGUUCAACAAAGAAUGAAUGGAAUCUCUUGCAUAGUAAAUAUCAUUGAAUCUCUCUUGCGUAGUAAAUAUCAUUGAAUCUCUCUUGCGUAGUAAGUAUAUGAGUAAUGAAUUUCAUAGCAUAGAUAUUUCUGGCCUAUAAGAAAGGGAAGAUGAAACCAAAUCACUACAACCGCUUAUAAUCACUACAACCGCUUAUAUGAUAAUAAUAAAGGGCAGAUUACACCAAAUAACCACUAUAGUCUUUCUUAGUUUUGCGCACCGGAAUCCAAAAUAAUAGAAUUGCUCGGUAUCGGCACCCGCUCAUCAAGUAAGCUAGCGCACAACCAAGUAAGCGUAAGCAUCACCCUGUUUGCUCCCCGAAACUCAAACUAUUAUUAGCACAAGUAAGUAAGUAAGUUAGUUAGUCUAAUGUGCCCAGCAAACUCCCUAAGCGCCUUGUAAACCAGGAAGAAUUCUAUCGAGCGCCCCCAGUCAACAAAGAAUCAGGACUUGUUGUUGCGGGUGCAAUUCCUUUCUUAUUGUUUAGAGUAAAGGGAAGGGCUACUACUAAUCAGAAACGACUCUCACCUCAGACUACUAAUCAGAAACGACUUUCACCUCAGAGCUCUCUUUCUAGGCACUGUUCCAUUGCUUAUAGAAUGGAGUAAGACCUAGACUUCCAGUACGGAACCCUAAAGCUGGUUCUCCACCGCUUGUUUGCAGCUUGUUCAUUUGUAGUUACUUGCCUAGUUGCUUGUCUGCAUGUCUGCCUACGAUAUAAUCUUUUCCUCAAGUCGAGUUCGGGUGCUUGCUUGUUAAGUCUACGAGAGAGGUCAAUAGUGUCGGUAUCUAUAAGCUCAUCUCUUCUCUCUGACGAUAUCACAUUCAAAGGCCCGCUCUCUAAAGCAUAACUGGUGGUGCGGUAAGCCAAGCCUGGAGUAAACAGAACGAGCAACGCGGGCAAUCAUUAAUUAAGAGAGUGCUGCAUCACUUAUAGAUUUCGAUUUCAGUAAACAGCCAGUAGAUUUCGAUUUCAGUAAACGCGCAUUGCUUUCUAAUAUAUCUCAUAUGGGCGUUCCACUCCUUAAAAAAGGACUUGUGGAAUGUGGGUGCACCUGUUAUAGAAGUUUCUCAGUCAAAAGCUAGUCGCCUGCCUGUUUUCAUCAUCACCGUGAGGAGCCGAGCCGGAGCAAGACUCAAUGCGUCAGGGGCGGAAUUAGUUCAUUCUUUGACUUGUGCUAACAGAAAGGGAAAUCAAGAUGUUAGAUCAGCAGUUACAGUUUGAAGCUAAGAAGCAAGAAAGUCAGUAAGGUGCUGAAAGCCUAAGAUACACAGGAGCUAAAGAAUAGUGGUAAGCAGCACGGGAAUGAUAGCCAGGAUAGUGAGAAUCGGAGACAGCAGUAUGGGCUUUCGAGCUAGGUGUGGUUAACUCGCUACCGCCCUUAAGUUAGGAGUCGUAAUAACAAGAAAUACAUUAUUGGGAGUUGAACUUAACUGCACAAAACAAAUAACUACAAGUGUAGUAAGUAUUUAAGGCUGUUCUUUAUGCCUGUUGUCUUCGGCAGUUGUGUUUUAGGGCUUGGUGGAUCCGACUCAGUAAUGAGAGAAUGAAAACAAGGUAGGGCAGCUCGUAGGUAGUAGAUAAGGGCUAAGUUAUGUGUUUGAGUCUAUAAGAGGAGUAGCCCCAUCUAUGUGUCAGUGUUAUUUAUUCCCUGGUUUCGAGUUCAAGCCCUAUUUCUUUGUUCAGGGUGGAUUCUCAUACUAGUUGGACCUAUAUUAUUAUUCGGAUAUUAGUAGUAUGACUCUAGUUAUUCCUAGAUGCACUACACCGCACCCAUACUUCUACCUAUGGGUUUUCUCCCCUGGCUCGAUUCUUGUCAACACUAGCUCAAUAUUAUUGUUUGCGCUGCGUUUUCAUUCUAUUACUUGCUUGUUUCAAUCCCAUCAGUUGUAGAUGCAUUCUUAUACUUAUUAGUUUGAUUCACUCCCAACGAUACCAAUCCUCUUACUUACUAGUUUGAUUCUAUUCCUGGAGGCACUAGAUCGUAUUCUCAAUAUAAGUCAAUAAGCUAAGUCAAAGAGCAAUAGACAGGAAAGUCUGAUUUAGAUCAAAAGGAGGGGCAGAGCUAAAGGUAGAGUCGGCUUGUAGGGUCCGCAUUCCCAUACUGAUGAGGUUCAUUCUGACUUCUUAAAUGACUUAGCUCGGCCCUAUACACAACUAAGCCACUCAAGAGUCCGGCGCUGAGCCCAGUUCUACUCUUUUCUUAUAAGGAACUGUAUUGGAAGCACUAGUAACAUUCCCAGUUUCUAGUUUCUCAUCUUAUACGUUGGGUUUCAUCUCGUUACUUAAGGAUUGAAUUCCAUUACUUGGGGGUUGCAUUCUGGUUUUGUCAUAUAGCAAGCCCUCUUCCGCAGGAGAUCUGGUUGCAACACUCGCCAACACCUAAGGAGACGACACUUCAGUACCACCGCGCUUCAAUAGCAAAUAGUCUACCCUUAACCCGGAUUUCGAACCAAGAACUGAUCUCACUGCUAAUGAUCCAGAUCCCAUUUAAGAUCUUGAAACUUUGUAAGAUCUGGUAGACUCCACUUUCCCUGCUGAAGAUCUAGCUUCUGAUCAAUAGGAAUCCGCAUACGUUUCCCUUUUGCUUCUAAACUCAUAGUUGAUACUGCGCUCGCAACGCACCUUUAUUUCUAGAUUACUUUCUACGCAACGAUAUACUUCUCUUGCAGACAAACAAGCUGGAAUUGCACUUGCUGAACGAUUCCACUGGAUACUUUGACUGAUAGUAGUAGGGCGCAGAAGAUCAUCUUGCAGCCAAAUCUUGGAAUUGAGUAUAUAGAGCAUGUGGUAUAUAAGUGAGUCAAUACCCCCAGGGACUUGCGCUUGCUUACUUACUUUGAACUUCAGACUUUCAAGCCGGAGAGCUUCUUUCUAUUUACGAUUACACUCUAACCUUUAUAUCCACUAAGUCUUGCCCGCUCUCGACAAGCAAGGAACUACAGCACCAACACUCGAACCGAUUGCAACUUACUUUUCAUCUACUACUACUACAGGAACUACAGGAUAUGGCUCUGCUCUAACUGCUUACCUCUGACUUGCGCCCUUACUCCGGCAACAGAUCUUUCUAUUUCUUCUUCUGGAACAAUACUUUAUCAUGCUUAUGAUCCAGCUUUCAUCUCUUUGCUUUCCUGGCACUACGGAUUAUCGAACUGCGGAUUCAGUUGCUUGUCGAACGUCACUUUCCUCCCCAGAGGACUAGGCGGAGGACUAACGUAAGGCAGAGUCAGCAUCAGCCGGAGUAGAUUCCAAGUCUGGAUCUGGCUCUCCAAUUCCAGUUUCGUUCGGGUGAUAGCCUUCUUAAGCGGUAAGUCCAGUAGUAUACGCUUGUCGGCAGUUUUCUGGUUUUGUUCUAGUAAGGGAAAUAAGGCAAGGCAAUUCGAGUCACCAACACCGAUCAAAGUCGCUAAGGCUUCGGCAGUGGAUCAUUCCAUUCUGCAAUUCCACUAUUCAUUCGAUUCGAGAGUCGAUUCUAGCUUCCUUUAUACUGUUCCUUGGAAACAGCUUAUCAGCUUACUUUUGCCAACACAGCUUGACUUUAUCGACACAGUAGAAAUCCAAUCUUGAUAUUGAUAAGAUAGAAACUCACACUAUACUUGUUGAACCAUUUACUGCUGCCGACUUCACCACAACAUCUAGACUUCGCCCCCAAAGAGAUGAGUAUGCACGGCGCUUCAAUUGACGACUCACUACUCGGUACUGAAGUACCAUAUUCUAAGUUGGGCAGCUGAUGAACUUAUUUAUACACCUGACUUAUCAUCUACUGCUGUAUCUGGCUCUGCUCUAACUGCUUCCUUUAGCGCUGAAUAAGGUGGUUGAGGCCUCUUUCUCGUUGUUUCAGCUCUGGUAAACUCCAAUUAUAGCUCAUCUGCAGAGUGGGCAUGAGAAAAAGGGGAUUCUGCUUUCUUUCUUUUGAGGCGCAGCUUAAUUCUUCAACUUUCAGAGAGGUUCUUCUUAAUUCCGCAGCCCUAACUAAGUCCUAAAGUAGAGAUAGUUGAUUGUGUUGAAGUGGAAAUAUCAAGAGGUGCUUCUUAUGCAAUAAGUCCUGAUUUCGUCAAGUCCUGUUUUUGGGGCCGCUAGAGUUCCCACCAUUAUUACAAUAGAUGUUUUCAGCGGGAAUCCAAUAAGUAAAGGUCCACACUCCUUUCAUAAAACAAGGUGAAACUGCUACUCGGUGAGGUGAGUCCAGGAACUCCUAAGCGUGGAUAGAGAUUGUGGAUUUUCCAUAACCACAUUACCCGUUUGUUAUUUAGCUCCGGCCAUUUCCCCUGGCUGUUAGAGUUUACGACUCUGUCAACUUAGCCAGGAACUUGGGAAGAGUAGUAGGGUCCGCGUCAGCUUAGAUGUUAUAGGGAAAGAGUUAUUAUUGAGGAUAUUCCUAGUAUGGUAAGCCUCGGAUAUCGCUGGGCUUUCUCUCGAAUAGAAAGAUGACCCCGAUAGAAUGUGUUCUUUUUGCACUUUCUCUUUGCUAAUAAGCUAAUCCAUUUUGGUAAUGAUUGGGAGUUUACAACUGGUUUCAUAUGGUGUGAACGCAUCUGUAAUUGGAUUACUGUUGAUCUGUCUUUUGAUCUAUCGGGUUGUCCUCAACGCCAUAAAUUCUCUUCAUAGUGGGCAAAGGUUCAAUCACCUCUAAUGUUGGGCCCGUCUUUUGUUUCAAGCUAUUCUAUUGAUAACCAAUCCAUUUUCUCAGGCUCUUAGCACCUGUACUUGCUCAUAACUCUGGGAUACCUCAGAACUUCGUUACAAGAGUGCAAUCCUCGGUGAAAUUACUGGUUUUGAGUGAAGGUAUUGCUUGCCCCGAUUCCAUUCUCUCAGGUGGGUUUUGAUUCUCCCUAUAGGCGUUUCGCGUCUUGUCCGCACUAGUUUCUUUCUUAAAGUAAGUAAUGGAAGUCUUAGUUCCUAGGGGUGAAAUUCCAGUAAUAGAAGCAGUAGCACCAGCCUCAUCAGUAGUAGCUCCAUUCUUGUAUGUCCUGGUUUCGCUCUUGUAUUUGUUCUUUAUAUCUUAUAAUAGUGGGUGUACUUAUACAUUCUCUUAUAUGAAUAGUAAGUGACUUAUCUCUUAUAUGAAUAGUAAGUGACUUAUCUAUCCAUUCUCUUAUCAUAAGUCAUAGUAGCAUAUCAUGUGGUUUUAUUGUUUGAAUAUGAUAUAGAAUAGUUGCAUGUGUUUUAGUUUCACACAAGAGAUAUAGGACCAAGCAAGAAGCAACAGACUAGACUUAUCUACAUUGCAAUUGGAAUAAGAGUUUGGCGUAGUAGCCUUGUUAACAGUGAUUUGAUUCUAAUCAUUAGUUGGUUUAUUCCUUUUUUCUAGUAUCAAUAUGAUAAGUAGCGGUUUUGAUCUACUAGGGUUCUUUUGAAUCCUUUGCCUGUUGUUAAUUCCAUUCUUAUAGGGUGUAGUUGAAGCAACAGACUUGAUGUCAGUAGCGAUAGGCCGAGAAGAAAGCUGCGGAAGAGUCAAAGCAAGUGGCAGUUAGACUUAAAUAAAGGAGAGGUAGCCUUUCAGACAGGAAGAGGGCGGACUUCAACUAGCACAGGCGAGGCUCUAAGGCAUUAGUGGAAUUCAACGAAGACAUCAGCGGUAAUAACAAAUACGAAAUCCAUUAUGUGCUUUUUAUUAUUGCCAAAUACUGCUGUAGUAAGAACAGAAUUAUGACUAUUUACUUACUGCCGCCCAACGCCUUACUUAGUUGCUUGCCUUUGUUUGGCAGCUACACUCUUAGAAGCAGUGGUUGGAUCGGAUCCCCUCUGACUUUCUAGUGGGACUCCUUAUUUCCUUGUUUCGUUCCUUCCAGCAGUGGAUGCAUUCCCUGUUAUUACUUCCAUUAUUGUUAGCAGUGAUUUCGUUCUUUGACUACCUAUAUGGGUCUUCUCCUUUUACUACUAAUAUUGGUCUUCUCCUAGCUUAGCUCUAUUUGUUCUUGUAGUCAGGUAGCGCCUUACUGUAGAGUGCAAUUCCUCUGAUUAAUUCGUUAGGUUCCUCUGAUUCAUUCGAUAGUUGAGUAUCCGGACUUUCUUGUUCGGUUCUUGCUUUUGUUAGCUUCGGUCCCAGAUCAUACCCCUUUUAUUGGCUGCGGUCUUAUACUUCCCUGUUUGUUGAAUUCUACAAGGACUUGUUCAUAGUUCCGAGGUUAGUUCAGUGGGCACUGUUUCGUUCUCUUACUUGGGGUAGAGCAAUGAACUUUACUGAGAAUACUUAGAAUAGAGAUGUGACUUAACGAACACAAGGAGAAGAAGAAACAUUGGGCUUAACACCCGCACCAUAGCUCUUAUCGUUCAAUGAAAAAGAAGAGACCGACCCUUUUCGAUCUAGUUACUAGAAGCAAACCACUCUGAAAUAUUCUAUAAAUGAACUUGAAAUGCCAUUAUAGGGAGUUACAUAAUGAGAUAAAAGAUCGGCAGGUCGAAGCUACAACUACUGAGGGAAAGGCAGGAGAGGCUACCUUCUAAGGUAGUAGUAAGGUCAGUUUGCCAGUAUAGCAAUAAUGAAUACAAGCAGUAAGUAGAAUAGUAGUAAGCAUAGGAGUGUCGGGGUAAAAGAAUCAAAGUGUUGAGAUACAGAACGAAACCACAGUGCUAACAGGACUCGAACACUGCCUAAUGGCUUCGCUAGUGCUAAUAGGGAUGGAGCUGGUGCUUAUGAGACUUUCACUGAUGCCAACAAGACUAUAUGGCUUUCAACCGGGAAUUGCACUGGCACUAACAAGGCGGAUACCACUAAUUGAAAAGAGUUGAUCUAGGACUAAUAAGAAUCGACCUACUGGUAGCAAGACAACAACUUGGAAUUCUAUCAUUGAUAACAAACAAUCAAGUAAGAAACAAGCUAAGUAGUAAAAGAAUGGAAUGAAUUAUGAAAAGAAUGAUUUGUUGUCUUAUACUAUUACUUAUAGGGGAAUUGAAGAAGAGGAUAGGCCACAACUCCAGAAGUAGAAGGAUAGGCGUGCUAACACACAGGGAGGAGGAUCCAACGAAUUAGUAUAGGAGCCAAACUGGUACUACUAAUAAUUGGCUAGGGGAGGUCCAUAUCAGAGGCAUCAACACUCGAACACAAGAAUAGAACUCUCAAAUACGGGAUGAAACGGGGCAGUAUAAGAAUAGAGCCAGGGGACACGGGAGGGACACCGGGGCACCUCGCUAAGACAUGGCACCUCGCUAAGACAUAAACUCAUACCUAGGUACUGAAAGCCUACUUCUAAAGAGAAUCGAACCAAUAAGUAUAAGUAAUAGAUUCAAUCCAGCAAUAAAGAAUGAUGCGAGGCCGAGUGCAUUGCUAGAUGGGCCGGAUGUCAAGAAUCAUAGUAAUGUCAGAAUCAUAGAAAUGUCAGAAUCAUAGUACGUAUGGCAAGCAACUGACAACUAAGUAAUAGAAUCAUAGUAAUUGUAAUAUAAUAAUUAAUGUAAUACUUGUGUAAUUGUAAUAAAAGAAUUAAUGUCAUAAUUGUAGGUAAUAGAAUCAUUGAUAAGUAAUAGAAUCAAGCAAUACCCCCGCAUACCUAAUAGCCAGGAAUAACCUAACUUUCCGUACUCUAAAACUGGCGCUGCCUCUACUCAUUCUGUAUCUACUUAUUUGGAUAUUCUUUAAAUAAGCCCUUGCCCUACAGCCCAUUAGUCUGCUCUUCUUGACUUUGACUCUUUAACCUAGGCUUAUAGAUGAAACACAUAAAUAAUACACAUAAGCUAGUCGGCCAACACAUAAGCUACUACUUUGGAGAAUUACUUAACCCAAGUUAGAGCCUGACUUUCCUAUAUCCCAGUCUAUAUCUCCUAGCCUAGCUAUCAAACGAAAACCAAUAUGGAUAUCAGCCUUUCCUUCCUCGAUAUCAGGUUUACUUACGGGGGUAUUAUAUACGCCUUUGCUGGCUAUCAGUAUCAGCCUAUACCUGGAAUAGAGAUUAUGGUAUUGAUUAUAUUAAGUACAACCCGAAAGGCAGGAAGUAAGAUGCGGCUUCCAAAUAUUGUCUGAGUUGAGACGAUGCUUCACCCAGACAGAAGUGUGCAAUCCCUAGUAGCUUAUUCUCUCUAUUCCAUUCUACUCGGCUUAAGCUUCCGUCCACCCAACAUCCGGAUUUCGAUCUUCCCUAUCUAAUGACAUUGAGACUGCUACUUAAGUAAGGUACCUCGGCUGUACAACUUGUAACUCUCUUAUCCCGCCUUUGACUUAAUACUUGUUCUGUUAUUGGCCUGACUUAUAGCACUUUGAAAUCCUACUAAGUCUCAUGAGUUCCGGAAGGCUAAGGGAUCAUCGUGUCUAUCCAUGAGGCUGAUGACUGAUGUCUGGUGGCCUGGAUCACUCUGUAUUGCUAUCCGACACAUCCCCUUUUCUUUGGGACAUGGGAAGAGCAUUGCAAAGUCCCAGAUCUCUUUCGCCUGCCUUGAAGCACGAGACCGCUAAGGAAUAAGUUGGAAUUCGGCAGUCCUGCUCUUUUCUCUUUCAGUUGCAGCAGAGGGGAAGGUUUCAUUGUUUAAGGUCUUCUAUUUUCUCACUUAAGCUGGACUUCUCUUUGCUUUUUCUUAGCCCGAGUCAGGCCGACUUAAAUAAAGAUAACUGGGUGCCAAGCCUUUAUCUUAUAUGAAACCAUUUCUUUCUAUCUGGGAAUCAUAACCUACUUUAUACCAAAGAAAGGGUUGAGACUUUCCUUCUUAUCCUAGUUAUUGGCACGAGUAUCGAUAACCUAUUUAGUAAGGAGCAAUAGACGGAAUUCGACCUAGAACCGUUAGGCUAGGCUCAUUAGAGUAGACGCAAUUAGUCUGGUAUGGCUUAAUGAAUGGUUUCAUCAGUGGAUUUUUGGCGAUAGCUUGCCUUUGCUGCUUUCAAGGCUUUCCUUGGGGGUGAGUUUUCAAAUGCUUUUUUAUUGAGUCAGCUGUUGCCCUUUCUUUUUGCUUCGACAAUAGAUCCAAAUCGAGGCAACAAAGCCACCCUACUUAGAUCCACGGAAAGCUUAUUGGAUUCUGGGGCGCCACAAGACGAAUUUGUCGUACAAGGACAUUCGGCUUAUCAGAGGCAAUGGCCUUCGCCUACGUCAAAGACAGCUGAUUGAUUCGUCCUACUAACAUGUCUUCCGCUGGGAUUGGGUGUCUGGUGGUAUCUUCUGCCAGAACCAAAGGAUUGUUGCUUACCUGAGUGCGCUAGUGCAAUUAAGGAAGCCGCACAAUGCCAAAUGAGGUAUCUGGGCUUCCUCAUCCAAAUCUGAUCCAUUAUCAAGUUAUGGACACGUUCACGAAACCAGAAGUCUUUCGAUCCCUUGCUGUCAAUGCCAAUGCGUGUGCUUAAGAGCUGGUGGCAACCGCACCUAAACUGAAAGAAAAAAGAACUAACUGCCCCGAUAUAUGUGAUUAAAGCUAUGCUACGGUUGGUUACUUAACUUGGCUUUGGGUUGGGGUGCAAGUGAAGUCUCCGAAAGAAGAAUAAGGAUCUGCAGAAGAAAAGUAUCCAAGAAAAUCCGCUGUAGAAAGAGAAGCUUCAGGUCGAGUGUUGUAUCCAGUAGCAAGUACGACAAGUCACUUAGCAACUACUACAAAAGAAAGUGGAGUCCUUAGUUGAGACUAGUUAGCGAGUUAAUCACCUUAGUUUAGACUAGUUAGCGAGUUAAUCAAAGUGCUAUAGGAGUUUCACAAGGGUAGGUGUAUCAAGUGGAAAGCGGAGUUUUUCAACCUGUUCUUAAUGCGGGUGAAGCUAAAGUCAGGAGUAAUAUGCUUUAGAGCUGCAAGUAAGGAGUUCCAGAAGCCACAAGCGUAGGCGAUUGGGGAACAUAUUAACAUUUACCGGAAAGGAAAGGAAGCAACGACGUUAGUUCGAGGUUAGAAAGUGAGUGGAAUAGCUUCUAUACUAUGCUUGUAGCUAUCUAUAUUCCAUUCUUAAAGCAACUCGGGGUGCCUCUGUCUCAGAGUAAGCAGUCAGGUGGUUACUAAAUUCGAUAAGUUGUUAUCUUACUUUACGCGCAGAAGAUGAGAUAGAGCUGUUGAGGAAGCCGAAUCGAAACAGUGCAAUCCAAUGAAAGGUGAAAGGUGAAUGCUUUAUAUAGAGACUAAACAAUCAGUGAGAAACGCCAAUCUUAAGCUAACGGGAGUUAACGACUUGACAAGGCGCUCUCUAGAUUCCAAAAGAAAGUGUUUGUUUACUCGGGGCUAACGGGAGCUCAAUCACUUUUUCAAUUCCAUGAUGACUUCUUGGAUUUUUCGGCAAAAGAACAAGUGGUGUCUUUGACAUUAGAUUCUAGACGAGAUUCAAAUAAAUGAUGAACUUUAAGUCGAGGUCAAUCAGUAUCAGGGAGUCUAGGUUCCUUGCGAGUGUUGAGCAUAGUUUCAUUGUUCAAGUUUAGUAUGGAAAGGGUGGGUAAUCAGAAUAACUUAUCUGUGCGAUGCAAGAGAGUCUACGAGAGAAUAACCUAGAUCUUAGGUAGUGAUAAAGUCAUAAGCAAUCGAUUAAACAAGUAGAGUUCGGACAGCCCACGUAACUGAGCCGUAUCUUAUAGCUUGAGAAGAGUCUAGGUUCUGGUCCGCAAAUAGAGUGAGUUCUUGUACGAGGUCUGGGCCCUUAUUGGUUGUUUGCUUGUGAGAAAGCUUAAGUAGGCUGUUGCUCCUUGUUCCGUAUGAGUUGCAGAUCAUAAGCCGCAGAAGAAUCCGUUUGGUAUCGACGUGUUGGCCCAAGUUCCAGUCCUGUUUUAAGCAGAAGUAACGGCCCAGAAAUUAGGAAGCAGUGGAGCAAGAAUAAGUGUGCUAACGAGAAGGGAUUGUUUCAAUUAAUGAUUUGUUGACCGCUCAAUUCCUUUUUGAUAUGGAAAAGAUUGAGCUUCCUUUACUGUCCUGUUUUCGUCUUCAAGUCGAUGUUAUUGGGGUGUUUCUUAGAGUAGAGUAUCGGGUGCUUGUCAAUCGGGAAAUAGAGGUGAUUGUGUUGGUCUCUAUAAGCUCCAUCUCUUUCUGAAUGGGAACUACGUGGUAACCUAACAGCUGACUCACUACUUUAAGCUUCUAGCUCCAGCUUUCGGCGAAAGGCGCUUCAACUGGAUUCGGGUGCUAGUGUUGUUGACGAGAAUGUACUGGUUGCGCUUCACCUUGAUUAUGACCUUAUUCCGCCAACCUUGAAUAAUUAGACGAGAUUCUGGUCUUCUGUUAGCGCCCCGAAAGCUCACAUUAUUAGAUGGCGAUGUAGCACUUUGGCUUCUGUACUGAAGGUGGAGUUCCUGUUCGAAAGUUGUCUACGAGUUAUGUUACUUGUGUUUGUCUGCGAGAGAGGUGAUUGUGUCGGUGAACAAGUAAGCUGUUCAGAAAGUAGAUUUCCAGUUCCGAGAUGUAGGCAUUCUUUCUGUCUAUGAAGGCGGAAGGCCUAAUUGAUUUAAUUGAAAGAUACAGAUAGAGCAGGUGAGGAAGCAGAAGCACUAACAACAGCAAAAGAAAGAUCUUUAUCUAAAGCCGAAGCCGACGAACAAAGGACUUGAAGUUGACUGUUACUAGAAGUUGCUGACGCCACGGAUUUGGGCUAUUUUAUCCAGGCUUCUGUAUCAAAGCCAGUCGACAACAUCAUAUGGCUAACUAACCUACAUCUAUAAGCCCUAGCUCAUUACCUCUUCUCCCGCUGAGAAAUCCCUAUUUUUCUCCAGACACUCACUCCUUUGUUCAAGCGUCAGGCGCGAAACUGUGUUCGGGUGCUGAAAGCCUUGAAGAAAAAGGGUUCUCUCACUUUAUCGGUACAUUACCUCUGUAACCCACGGUUCUUGCGAAAGCCCUGACAUGCCAUUGGUAGUGAGUUGGCCACACGCGAUGCUCUUAUGCUUUAGCCUAGUGUUACGCCCCCCCGAAACUCAAAUGGGCGAACCUUCCAUGUGGUCCCGGUACUCGGUAAAGAAUAUUAUGGAAUAGAAGCGAGUAAAGCCGCCUCGGAGACGAAAGACUAUCCGACACACAUAAUCAUUGUAUGUAGUAAUAGCCUUGGUAUGAGACGAGCAGAUGAUCCUUUAAACUGUCUUAUUAACGCAAUGAUAAUGACUAUCAGCUACGACACUGCCCCCUCUGAAUUCAAUGCUUACCCAAGCUCCUCCCCCAAUGAACUCCUGUUUCUAGAAAUAAGGGCGACAAUAAGACAAAUGGAAUCAACCACACCUUCGCAGUACACUUAGACCUCUUUCAUUGAAAAGGAGAAUCCGCUUAUACACUAAAAGUAGGGGCCCCCUACCGAAAGCAAGUGGGAUAAAGUGUUUCAAAGGUGGAAAAAGUCACUCAUUUCUCUGACUUACACUAAAAGCUAUACUUCUAACUAAUAGCUCAAAGGCACAUGGCGAUAGAUGCUUCUUGUCCUAUCUUUUUCAGUAAGGAAGAAAACACUUUGCAUGCCUUUCUGGACUGUGAGGUCGCUUUGGUAAUGUGAGCUGGCCUACUCCUUUAGUAUGGAGCCACGAGUAAUCAAUUGGAUUUUUAUUGGAAGUCUCUUUUUCUCAUUUGGAUGGUGGGCCUUAUAUAUGUGCUCGUUGUAUGUCUGUCUCAUCUGUUACGUUUCCUCAUUUUCUAUAAGAUCGUUGCUUUUUUAGGUGUGACGACAACUUUCUCUUCUUUUAUGAAAUAUGUCUCUUCGGGGGGCCGCAUGAAAAUGGAAAUACUGAGUCCUUUUGAAAUAGGCUGUAGUAUUGAGUCGGAUAGGAAGUAUUGAGUCGGAUAGGAAGUAUUGAGUCGGAAUCCAGCUCAGAGUCAAUUAAUACUUUUCGUAAUGUUAUUAUGGCAGAUAACGAGGCGGAGUUAUAUAGAAUAAGAAGGAUCAGAAGAUAUCUAGAAGAAUAGAAGGAUCAGAUAUCUAGAGCGGCAGGACUACUAGAACGUGUCCCCCCAGAAGAAUAAUGGUUCUUAUUCCAGACUUUUGAUAGAGCACUUCGAUCAAGCUCUGAAUGUCGACCAUUAUCGCUUUUCUAUGGGAUAUCUAAGUCGACCAUUAUCGCUUUUCUAUGGGAUAUCUAAUAUAUGGAAUUCCCCUUUUUAGAGAAGAAGGCAAUGUAGCAGGACCGGCUCCAAAAUCUCAUGAUCAAUUCCAAUCAUAUUCAUCGAAUUAUGAAACUGGGCCCUUAUACCGAUGUCAGAAAGGAAGCUACCAACUAGAUGAAGUCGAAGAAAGGAAGCUACCAACUAGAUGAAGUCGAAGGUAGAGCCAGUGAGCAGCCUAAGCCAUGCUUUUCAGCGACAUAUCAUAGAGGGCAGUCUCAAUUCCUUUAUUAACCAACUGCCUGAAGACGAGACACAAGCGAUACAAUCUAUAUUCUAUCGUUCAUUCUACCGAGAUUUUGAACUACGAGGAUUUCCGCCGCUCCUUGGGCUUGCCGCUCCCCUAUUUUCGGUGGAACUACGUCUGACCUGAUCCCUAUAAAAAGCGGGGGGGAAAUACAGACACUUUUGAAAACCUCAUUCCAUUCAUUUCUAGGCGGGGCCGGAUGGUUGUUUGAUUCUACAAAUAGUUAGUUUAAGUGAGUUGGAUGACAUAAAUAGAUAGUUUAAGUGAGUUGGAUGACAUAAUGGAUUACCUUCUACGGGAAUCUUCCUCUUUUUCCCUAGUCCCAAUCUAUUAGUGGUUAUUAAUCUCAUUCUUUUGUGGCAGUUUGACUUUCUUUUGCUGUCGUGCCAGGCGCUUUUCUGGGUUCUACUUUCUUUCUCUGGGAUUUGGAUUCUAUCUAGCCAGAGUCCGUUUCCGUUGUUGACUAUACAAUCAAUAUCAGUAGAACACUUUUGACCAGUAUUUGUUUGCUCUUCAAUGUACAAAAAAGGAUAGGAGAUCAUUUCGAAUAAAUAAAGUCAAGGUUCGAAAGCUAGUAGGGAAAAGCCAGUUGUUUUUUCCUUGCUAAAAAGAAAAGAGUGGUGCUUCUAUUCUAAUGGAGCUAAUAAGCGCUCUGACUAUAUAAUUGACAACCUAUACUAUACACGUGCAGGGGUUUCUCACAUCUACCAGACUAGAUAAAGAUCCCUUAUUCUAUCGAGCUAGCCUACAAAAUAUGGCAUACUCCUAGAAUUCAGAAAGACUACUAGAAAUAUUCGAAUUCAUAAAUACCACUAGAAAUCUUAUUAAUACAUUCAUUAUAUAUAGAUGUAUAGGACACCUAUCCACAUUAGACCACUGGAAAUCAGAUUAAUACAUUAUAUAUAGAAAUAUAGGACACCUAUCCGGGAUUUGCUUUCAAGUAUUUGACUAACAUUCUAAUCGUGGGGGUUGGAAGUGCAGAAUACCAUUGGAUUGUGUUUUUUGCUUUGGCAGAAUACUCUCAUAGGCUUGCUUGCCCAUCUGGAACUCCUUUCUUGUAGUUUCUUUUUACCUCGUCCCAUCCCGGGGUACUAACUCUGUAGAAUUGAAUCCCUCUUCGAGCCUGUUCCAUUGGGGUACAAAGUUCGCCUACACAUUUCGAUUGAGAAAAUGGGUAAGCGCAUCCUCCUCCUUUUGCCUGCCGCCCGGCGCCCCAAAGAGGAUAGGAUACAACUAAGCGCUCAGGACGAAGACUUAUUCCAACAAUACCGCGACACAACAGCAGUUCCAGCAGUCCAAUAGUAUGAUGUUUACUCCCGAAAAGGGGAUAGUUUCAAUAGUCGUUAGUUUUCCACGUGAUUCGAAAUAGUAGGGUGAGCGAAUCCAACUCCUAUCUCGUUACGCUGAGAGCUCCAGCUGGGUUAUAGAAAGGCCGGGAUAAGACCUUUCAAUGGAAGGCCAUUUUCCGCCAGGCAGCACUAUAGAGAGACCUUUACAGAUCUUCUCAAGCAAGCAAAGCAGUAGAAUGAUUAUGAGAUAACUCUCCCUUAGGCAGGAAUGGAAUUGAUAUGCUAUUGAGAAAGAAAUCAGACUCCUCCCACCAUGCAGCGUGUAGGCGCAUUCUAUGAUGUUAGAAGGCUAUCGGCCCGGGCACUUGGAGUACGGCACUGGGUAAAUAGCUAUGUAAACGGAGCUCUGUCACAGAUAGAGCGGGGACUUCCUUAGUGAGUGGUACAUGAAGCCCAUGUCAAGAAAAGCUUCAAAGUACUGAUUGCAAUGUAAUAGCUUCAAAGUACUGAUUGCAAUGUAAUAUAGUAUAGCCCAGCCCCUUCGGUUGUAGGAAAGGAAUCCGGGUCCAUUCCGGAAUGAUGAAGACCGAUAGAAUAGAAUACCCCAAGCCACUUUAGGAUUUACCCUACAUAUACUCGGGACCAACAUAUCAAACUAUAUUUACCUUUCCUCUUUCUAUUUUACAGGUCAGGCAAUAAGAGAAAGUAUAGAUCGGCUCAUUCAUUACAGUAAGGGUUCCGGGAAGUCAAUAAUUGAUUAGUAUUGGUGAGUCAGGGUUCCGGGAAGUCAAUAAUUGAUUAGUAUUAUCAACAAUGGGUGACCUUUUACCCCAAAUUACUUCUAUGGGCGCAGGGGUUGUCAAUUCUCUUGUGGAUAACGGAUCAUUAAUGUCAUUAAGGGGUCAAGGGACAGAAAGAAUGUCUACGACGAACAAAAGACUUGAGGAACAGCUCACUCCUAACUUGACUCACUGAAUGGAAUAUCUCUAUAAUGACCCUAUUAUAUACAUACUACUCCCUUCUUCUGUAUCUGUAUAAGAUUAUACAAGUACUAUUUCAUCUGAUCCAACAGAUCUUGCUUCAGCAGAUUCUCUGGAUUGUAAUCCUUAUUCCGCUCUUUCUUCUUUUCUUCCUCUAACUGUGCUCGCCUUUCCUUUAGUACCCUUCGAGUGAGCGCUCUCUUAUACGUUGCUAGUUGGGUUCCCCGAGAAACUCCCUUCUUUCUACGUGACGAGCUUCUUUCUUCCCCUAAGCUUCCAGACAAAUCUUUGCUUGUUCCUUGGUUGUUGAAUGAAAUAAUCAAUCAAUAAAUACAGUAGCGCACAUAGUAUAGAGGUAAAGUCAACUCACUGCUUCCCUUCCGCCAUGACUUCAUUAAGCGAUUGUCACCGCGAGUUUCUUCUUUCAAAUUAUAUAGCUUGUUGCAAUUGAUAUAAUGAAAAUAGGAUAGCGGACUCCUUAUCGUAUAGCUUACUCCUUAUAUAGUAAUCGGACUCAAUAAUAUCAUUUUGGCGGCAGGAAUCCUAAUUAUAGGACAGAGACAGCUUAGUUCUAUUAUAGGACAGAGUCUAAAGCGGGAGAAUAUGCGGGUCAAUAAUCUGGAUAAGAAUAUGGAUCAGGUACAGGAUUUGCAGCGAUAUAAGUUCUUGGCUAACCGAGUGGAGUUGUGGCUUUAUUAAUUAAUACAGACCUUCUCUUUGGUUGGUAACGUCAACAUCUUGUUCCGAGAAACUCCGUAAGCGCUUUCACUCGCAAACGUUUAGCUCAUCUCCUAACGCUCCCAAUUCAGAGUUGCUUGUUUCUCUUUCAACAAAUUAAGGAACUGCCAAGCUACUACUAAACCACAGGUAUUCUCACUUUACCGGCAACAAAGCAGCUUCUCGCAACAGCUUCUUACAUGGAUUUACUUACCGCUUCAGAAGGCCAUAAUCAAAGGCAAGGCAAUCAGGCUUCAUUCUCGUUCAACAACCCAACCUUGAGUUGAAUACUUUCAUUGCAUAAUUUAGAGCCCAGAGCCCUUACAGUAUUUUUUCUAAAUCUCUAUCAUACCCGGGCGGGUAACAAGAAUGAAUCAGUUUCUUCCUCUCCAGCUUCUGGUAAAUAGGAAUAUGCUUCCCUGUCUUUUGAGUCUAAUACUCCACUUCACUUGUUCUUGCUCUAGUACUGUGACUGAUGUAUCUGCUCUAACUGCUUCCUUUGGCACUACUUACUGACUUUCUACAACAGAACUACUCCCUCCUUACUUUAUCCUGAAUAUCUCUGCUAAGGACAGCACAGCUUCUAGACGAGAGUAAAGGACAGCACAGCUUCUAGAUACGAUGACACUCGAACAGACAGAUAAUCCGGACACAGCGCUGAAGAAUCCCCUAAUCAAAACACAGUACAAUAAACAAGUGAGUAGUUACCAACGAGAGGAAGAGGUCAAGAGAAGAAAAGUCAUUUCGUAUGAAUACCUAUAGAUGCAUUAAUUUACCUCUAGGGUAGAAAGGUAAACCGCCCACAGCUCCUACAGCUACCUAACCUCUGAAGCCCCCCCGAACGUGGUGGUCGAAGACAUAUUCUUUUUGGAAGAAAAGUUCUAUUCUCAAAGGAUUGUAAGGUGAUUCAAACAACCCUCUUCCGCUUUGACUUUCGCCCUUUCUUUUGUCCAUCAAGGUAGGAAGCCCCUGAAAUGCUUCUGAUUCUCAAAUGUAGUUCCUAGGUUUCUUCUUUUUCGUAGCAUCAGAACCUAACCUAAGGAGCUCUGGGCGCAGUCAGUCUGCGACGCUUCUUCUUUAUUUGAUAGGCUUCCCUCUAAGGCCCCUCUCUUUUCCCCUUUUCGAAUGUGGAGGCUCAGGCCCCGUGCCCUACACAAUACCGACAUCAGCCGUCUCAAAGCGCUUACCAGCAAUCAACGAUUAGUUUCAGUGAAAAAGGCUUUGUCUCCCUCUUUACCGAAAGAACCUGUUCGAAAAGAGCUUACCCCAACCUAACAUUCUUCCCUAGUUUGCAGGGAGCUAGGACAAACUAUGGAAUCGGCCAUAGUGGAGCGCUUCUUCAGUCUGAUAUUGCCGAUAUUCAAGGGAAUACUAUAUAUAGUGGUGUAUCUGGUGAAUUCUAUAGAAUUGAGAAUAGCUCCAAUAAGAUUUAAAGAACCCUUACCCACCUGCUAUGUUAAGACAUUGAAGUCAUAGCAUUGGCAGUAAUGCAACUGUUAAUGAUGUAGUUUACACUACUUGGUUUGAGUCUUGUAAGUUGACUAUAGGUUAUGUCAUGAAAAUAGCUACAGGAGGGGUUUCCUAUACAAUUGGUAAUGCCAUUUCUGUAAAUGAUGAUUGCGGUAAUGCUUUCCUAACACGGGUGUGUAAAGCAGGCUCAAGCUGCCCUGAUCUGAUUCGCAAACAAGCCCUUCGAAGUGUGUUGGAGGGGAAGUGCUCUUGUAGGGUCAUUACUAAACCAAAGCAUUAUAUGAGGAAGUCGUUUUGUCUACCUUAAGACACAUUGAAGCAUCACUUAUGCGAAAGGAUUAUAUGCUCAGGGUCUUGCUUUGAGUGAAAAGUAUACAUUAUUACGUAAAUGCCCUUAUUAUGGAACAGCGAUUCGAAAUGUUCGGAAUGUGAAUCAUAAACCCCAAAACAUUCCAAGGAAUCUCCUAAAGAAAGGCCCUAUGAGAAAGAAAGGAAAAAGAAGUUCAAAACUAGUGUUAUAUGACAAAACCCAGAGAAAAGGAAAAGCUCCCCUUUAUGAAGGAAUCCCCAAGCCGAGUCUGGUCACCCAAAAGUAUGUCCGGCAGAUUAAAGGGAAAGGAGUUGGUUGCCUACUCUGUACCUCCAAUCCAAAUAAAGCUGACUCUAUAUCAGCCUAAGUCGAGAAUGACGAUGCGACGGCUUUCAAAAGGAUAAUGCAAAACGCAUAUUUUCCCAUGCCUUAAGGGCUGGACUAGAACUGCCCAAUCACCGUCCCUGAACAGGCAGACAUGACGGACAAUCUCAAUUCUUACCAAAUACGUCUGGGUCACACUCUCGAGAUCUGCUCAACUUGGAAGUCGUGGAUCCAGAACUCAAUCAAUCAGGGAAAGAUUGUCUUUGCUCAAAAUUGAUACAAGGAUCCUUCACGAACAGGACCCAGCACCUGUAACAUAGUAGGCUUAGGGAGCAACUCAGAUUCUGAGCUUACCUUACAACAAUAAGAAUCAGAGCAUAAGGUGGUACCGCGGGAGUGAAGGUGAGGAAUACUGAUCAGAAUAAUCCGCUUUUAGGUAUCCAAAGUACCCAGUUGCCAGUCCGACAAGUAACUACUUAGCUACUAGGCAAGUCAACUACUAACCAAGUCCCGUUUUUGGGAGCCUGUUGAAAGAAAAAGGGCCCAAUUGUUUUGGACCGAAGGAAGCGGUGGCAGAUUACCAUAUGAGAGAGAGGGGGCAUUUCCUUGGGUUCUAAUUCCGGAGUGAUGUGGACUGGGCCUCGCAUCAUUGACAUGCCUGACAAAAGACAAAAUGAUUUCUUACAUUGUAGCUCUUUCUUGUUGUAUUGGCUCAGAAAGACAGACCAGAUUGAAUAUUCUCUUUGCGUACAGAAACAGUCAUUCCAGUCCCGACGCCUACUCAUGGAUCGUAAAAGAUCGCUUCAGUUAGAAAGUCCCUUCUUUCUAUGCGCCAGAAUCGGAUUGGAGGCAAUUCAAAGGCUAUGGAGAACAAGAUCCAGAGAUUAGAUGUCAUGAGCUUGUUCGGAUGAGCAAGAUAUGCAGAAGAUGUGAAAGCGAACAAAAUGGCCGAGACUCCUUAUUAUACUUAUCUCCUUAAAGAUAGGGAGAGAAUUUGCUUGCUAAGUAGAGUGACUUCAGGGAGAACUACUGGAUCUUAACGCUCUUAGCACCCGAACACAGGACUUGCUCAUAACAGGAGCAGCCCUGCCGCGCUUUAACUCACUUUAGCUCUUUUAGCUCGCUACCUCUUUAACUCGCUGCCGUUUAGCUCACUUCCUACCGCCCAAAAAACAUCUAUUGUAAGAAAAAGAGUGGAGCGGCCCCAAAAGCAUCUAUUGUAAUAACUUGUCAUAUCUAUUACCUUGGCUACCGCACUUAGUCUUGCGCCUAAGCUUGGUCGUUAGUAGUUGCUUGGCCUAUUACUGUUGCUGCCGCUGAAAACAUAGAUUGUAAUAACUUUGUUAUGACUAUUACUGGCUACCGCGUCACAUUAGCAGUGCCUUGGUGGCUUUCGCCGUUGCCCAAAAGCUCCUGCCGCGGCACAUUAGUAGUGCCUUGGCCCGUGGCUUGGUCAUUAGUAGUUGCUUGGCGGUCGGCUUGGUCGUUAGUAGUUACUUGCCUAGUUGCUUGGCGGUUUAGUAUACUGUAGCUACUAAGUUAGGUUGGGUUGGUGGAAAGGUUCAGUAGGCUGUUGCUACUCUCCUAGUCUCCGAGAUAGGUUAUUGGCUGAGCGGUCAGUUCAGUUGUCUUAGAGGGAAAUAAUGUCAGCUCCAUUCCACAAGCGAGUUCCUUGACCCGAAGGUAGUAGCAGUAGCCUUCGUAAGACAGAAUAGAGUUUUUAGUGUGAGAAGAUCUUAUUGCAGGAAAAGAUUUGUGUCUGGAAGAUUGCCCCAACUCACUACUGCAGUUACUAGUUCUUGUUCCAUUGCUUAGUCUCUCUAUCUCUAGUCAUUUAGCUUUCAUGCACACAUUAUAGAAGUCAGUCACCGGUUACCAAACCCAUUACUGUUACUGCUUGUUGGAACGCAGCUGCUUGUUUCUUUCACUAUACCACUUAUUUGCUUUAACCGAGAAAUAAGCUCAGUAUUAGCAAGAGCCGAGUCAAGUGAGUAAGUUGCAAGAUCCGUUCUUUGCUACGAGGUUCUUUAUGGAGCGGGAACGAAAGAAUACUUUCUAUCAGUAGGUGCGCAAAGUACCAUAUGAUUUAUUGGAUUUCCUGGUAGUUUAGUUCCUGUUCUUUAUCGCUCAGUAGGUAGAGUGGAAUCGUACUAUUACAAAGAAUCAUAGGCUACACAGCAUAAUAAGGAUCAAUAUCCGGAUCAGAGGCUGGGCGGGUAAAGUCUUGUUCAGAGAAAGAAUCAAAUACGGGUGCGCGAACGAGUGUAGUUUCUGUUCUCAAGUCAUCCGUGUUUCAGAGCAACCUCCGCCUCCAUUCGAACUUGAUAGUUGAACGCGCUAGAUUCAAUUCCGUCUUAUUGGCAAGGGUAUAAGUGGUAUAUCGAAUGCAAGGUAAGAAUUUUCUAGGUAUGAUAGAUAUUGGCAAGUAGAGGAGAUAAGUAUCGAGUUUACAGUGAAGUCGACAAGUUCCCGAGUUUACAGUGAAGUCGACAAGUUCCCUUCGAUUCUUGUAUAGGGCGGGGCAGAGUCCUUUCGUGUUGCGCGCGGGAGGGAAGUGUAGUUCAAUGGAGUUCUCGUUGUUCUAUUCAAUACAAAAUAGGAGUUCUGGAGGAAGAGAGUUCAUCUGUCUUUAGUGAAGUAGGUCUUCCAAGCGAAUGAGGAAGAGAGUUCAUCUGUCUUUAGUGAAGUAGGUCUUCCAAGCUCAAGGAGUCGCAAUUCUAUCUAUAUGGUGUAUAGCUCAAUUCCAUUCUAUUCUGUUUUGUCACUCCACCCUUGAUUCUUAUUAAUUUCAUCUGAAGGACAUAUGAGAGAUACCCACAGAGCUGUAUUAGUUAGUAGAGUAUGGUAUGAGUGCUCUCUCUUUAUGUGAAGCUAUUCUUCCUCAAUAUCUUUCUCAGGCUCUGUUAUACCUGAUUCUAUUUUCAUAUAGGAGAGAAGACAGACGCUAUCUCUUUCUUCUCUUCUAUUCUCUAGGUAAUUCCUCACAGCCAACAGCAAACCAAUAGGGGUCGAUUAGCUUGUUUUUUUGUGAUCACAAGCGAUCGAGCAUUUACUGGAUCUUGCUGCAGCAGGAGCAAGGGAACUCCCCUGGUUAUGGAAACCAAUGACUCCCGGCGUAUUAAAGCUAUACGAGAACCACGCUAUUGAAAGAAGAAUCUCAUGCCCUUCUUUGGCUGUUAGCAAGUCAAUUCCUUCCCGAAGCUGAUUGAAGGCAAGACAAUGCUUUAGGUAUUCAAUGACCUUUACUGGCAUUACACACCAUCCCCAGUUUUGGGCCCUUAUCGGUGGUCUGGUCGAAACCCCCAUGCCAUAGACCUUUCUCCCCUUUUCGUAGGGACAAUCGGGUACUAUUCGUUCUUCCGGGCCACCCUUUGCACUUACCCAACAUUUCAUGAUUUGCUAUUGUGUAGAGAAGGGGGUAUAUCCUGGAGUCAACUUUGAUCGUUACGCCGUCCUAGGUAACGACGUGGUCAUCGCUGAUAGCCAAUUCGCCCUGGCCUAUCUGGACAUAGUGGAAGAGUUGGAGGUUCUUCUUUCCAAGCAUAAAUCCAUUAUCUCCGAAAAGAGAAGUACCCUGCAACCCUUAGAGAGGACUGUUCUGCGAUGAUGUGUCGGUCAGUGAUAGGACUGUUCUGUGAUCAUGUGUCGGUCAGUGGCUUCACUUGGUGCAGUAGUAGCAUGUCCGGUCUAAUGAUCCCAGAGUCAAUAAUCAAAGAAAGCCUUCUUGAGGCUCAGAACGAAAGAUGGAGGGCUAAGUCGACCGAUCAUAACUGCCUUCCCAUGGCUUUGAAUACUAUGGUACCUAUAAGAUGGGGGGCUCCAGGAGUAGAGUAACCCAGAUCCUACUGAAACUUCUGGGUGCCUAAAACCUAGGCUAACUUAUUGGAAGACAGACUACUUCUUGAAUGCGAAAAUGGAAUGAAUGCACUAACUAAACUUAAGAGAUUCUGGUAAUAGCUUUCAUUAGCGCUUUUCAAUAAUAUUGGAAAUUGCCCGUCCUUCGUGACUAAAACUUUACCUCCGUAACAAGGCACCGUCCCCCGGUCCAAGCAAGCGCUGUGAUUUUACCAGCCAAAUGGAGUUUAGCCAAAUAAGAAAGAAAGAGAAGUGGAUUUUCUUCCUCGAACCCUUUUAGCUUUCUGCGGCCCUUCACUGCAGGACAAACAAGAGAUGAGAAUAGAAAGAUGAUAGAGAAACUAUUCUAGGCUAGUCCGGGAAAGAAGAUAAUAAACUCCUUAUCAAACACACUUGGGUAAGGCUCCAUUUAGCAGGACGCUUGUUAUAAGAUAAGGCCCACUGGGGGAAUACUCGCUCCAAGAGAGGCAGAUAGGUUCUCGCCAUAUUUAUCCACCAGCAGAUAGGUUCUCGCCAUAUAUUUAUCCACCAUAGGUAAAGACAAGAAAGAAGGAUUGUAGGAAUUCCAACACAGCCUUGGACCUCACCAAAGGUGCCAACUGCUGUAAUAUAGAGGAGCUCGCUUUAUCGUUGUAAACUUGUUGGCUAAGGCCACUCAAUUAUUCAUUAAUUAAAGAAUCCAUGUAUGCACUUCGCCUCGUCUAACGGACAUUAUCAUCAAAAGAAAGCCUUUCCAUAGCCGAAGGAUUGAUCUACAUAAUGGAUGUCUUAAAAGAGCUCGCUAACGCUUGAAACUCUCCUAACCGUUAGCGCUACAUUCCAUUUCAAUAUAACUUAUGCACAUAUAAGAGAGGAAUAUCUGAUAUUGAAUCUCACUGGCAUAGUAUAGAUUGGAGUAACCUAAACCACCUUCAUUUCUUUCUCAAAAUGGAAUAAAGUGCACAUAGCAUAUAAAAGAUAGUAAAGUAACCUCCCGAAAUCUAAGAAAGGAAUUUAGGCAUGGGAACCCAUAUUUUCUCACUUAUAUUUAGUAUUUUGAACUCUUUUGCUUGCUUGUCCAGCUCUAUCUUCUGUCCCCUUACUUUUCUUUAGGGUAAAGGAUAAGAUAAGAUCUAUUCUUACUAGAGCUAACAAAGAACGACUCUAAAGCAUACACUAUUUGGGAGCUGCUUCACCUUUAUGGCCUUACCCCUAUACUUUCAGGCAGAACCUAGGGAAAGCGGGAGUCAAUCACUAGAAUCCAAGGCAGAAUCUUUGGAUAUCGGGAAUCAAUCACUAGAAUCCAAGGCAGAACCCAGGGAGAGAGUCAAUCACUAUAAGCCUGAGCUAUAAGAGACUAUAGUAAGACGGUUAUAACAUACAAUAGCUCCUGCCGCCGACGAAAGAAGAAAUUGUAAUAGGAAAGGGCCAAGCGUAUACUACAGACCGCCAAGUAACUACUAAUGUGUAGCGGCAGGGCUGCUCUUCUCCCUCUUACCCCUCGCCCAGUUGCCGUGGCCUGGAUGAAUAAUUGGUUCCAGAGCUAAGUAAGAGAAUUGAAACUAAGAAAGAAGAGAAGUGACACGAAACUCACUCUCUCUCUUAUAAGAAUCUCAUUGGCACUGUCGAAAGAUAGUAGGUAGGGUUCUUUUUCUAUUUCUAUUAAUACAAGCAAGCAAUAUAGUGGGGAGAGUCGUUCUGUUCUUCUCAAUAUAGUAGAGAGAGUCGUUCUUCUUCUGAUAUUCUUACAAGAGAGUUUCCUCAGCGCCACUACCAUAUAGAACUUUUGAAUUGAGGUAGCGGGAUGCCCAGCCUGACUUAUGAUAAUGACCUAGACCAUACUACCAUAACAUAAGUAUAUGAACUAGAUGCACUGGAUCAAUACCGUCCCAUAUGCGCCUAAUUCUCUCAUUCAUAAUAGCAGUACCAUCCUGGUUUCAACUACAUUUCUUCUUCGGGCGACAGGUCUUUCGUUUUGGUCGAAAGAACGGUCUGGUCGGUCGUCCACACACUCGUUCUUAGAACUACGGGAGUUAGUCUCCGGGAUCAUAUCUCACAUUCAUUCCUUUAGUUACAUAACAACCAAAAGUCUGUGGAUGGCUUCUUCUUCUAGGGGCUAAGCGCAUUCAUCGGUCAAGUCAACAUCGUUCAUUCAUAGUGAGGUGGGCGAUGAAGAAUAACAAAGGCGUCUCUCCGAACUGAGUCUUCACUUCUUGUAAAAUAGGCUCAGUCUGGAAUAGCACUCAAUUAGUCUGUGGGCGGACUCUAGGGCCAACUCGGUCAGUCAACGCACGGUCGUUCGUGCAUCAAGGUCCCGUCCCUUGCACCACACUCUUUAGGCCCUCAGGUACUCCAGUCUCAUUUCGUACCGUCUGCAUCUUAUUGCCCUGUGAGUUUUCUCUGCAUCUUAUUGCCCUGUUUUCAUAGUAGUUUGCUUUUCUUAUCUAUAUUUUCAUAGCAGGUUUGGUUUGCUUCGAUUAUCUAAUAUAGAUUAGACUUGGUUAAAAUAAAAGCGUACCGUACUGUCCAGCAGAAUCGUCAACUUUCUUUCCCGAGUUGGCUUCUUCGUAUGAGCCCUAGCAGCAUCUAUUCCUUACUCCGUUUUCUUUUCUGCUUUCAAGCCAUCGUAGUGAGCGGUGACUACAUAGGUUGGCUCUGGUUUCGUUUGAUUUCUUCCGUGUUCUAUGAGCCGACAGCAAGCAGGACUGCGAAAGAUUAGUGAAGUUGUUGAAUGUCACCAGCACAGAUCCUCCCAAGCAUGAAAAAUGAGGAAAUAAGCAAGCUACUCGUUCCUCGGAUCAGGAGUUUUGCCUUUACCCUAUGGUUAUUCCUCGAUCGUUCAUGGGAAACUAUCGUCUGGUGGCGACUAAACCUCUGUCAUUGACAUGACCUUUGCUUUAUCAUAUACUACCUGGUCCCUUCGAAAACUAUCUGUCUCGUCUCUUAUCCCCUUUACUAAUGUUCAAUCUAAAUCCCGUGACUUGCUUUCUUUCAUUGGACUGGGCAUCCCGGAUCUCCUUUCUUUCUUCGGUGCUGACAAACAACUAUACGGUCAAUCAAUCUCCCCACUCAAUUAAUAUCCAUCAGCAUAUAGGUCUUGUUUUCUUUUCUUUCUCUCAUGAGUCUUUCUUACUGUCUAAAGGAAUGUUACGUACGCUUUCUCGAAGGCUCAUCUUGUAUACCAGUGCCAAUUCGGUUAGAGAUGUUUGUCCCGAUUGCCCAUACUGGAAUCUACUAAUGAGACAAUUGUCAUUGCCUUUGGAUUUGGCACCUACUAGCAUUGGUCCAGCAGUGCCUUUGUUCUUGCCAUGAGUGAUCUUCAUUCGAUCAAAUAGCUCGAGUCAUCUGUUAGGUGGGCCAACCGACCGAGUUGGGCGGGGCAGCGUCCAUGUAACAGAACCGUUAUUCUAGCCAAGAAGACCAUUAUUGAUCGAUCAUUGGCAAAUCACAAAAUCAAUCUCAAAACUCAGAAAAAACCCUCGCUAAGAGGAAGAGUCACUCAGACAAGAGCUAGGUAAGCAAGCAAGAAAAUCCGUAUAGGCUCGCUAAUUGGGAGGCAAGGAGCACUAUUAUCCAGGAUCUGUUAAGAUCAGCCUUGGUUCUUCUGGUCGGCUCGUAUUAGCCUGUGCUUUAUGACAGCCCCGUUGUUCCAUUCCUUUAGUCUAGUCUUUUCAACGGCUGAAGUCGCGGUCAUGUCUCGCCCCUAGUGACUGGUUCCAUGUUUUCCCCAAAUUCCAUCAGUUCCAGUCGUCUCGACACGAAAGCAAAGGAUCUGAGGGCAGCCACUAUUUCGACUUCUUUAUCAAGCAAGCAAUACCAUUUAUACUUCUUUUCAAGUGAGCAAUAGAGGAGGAUGUAGCCUGUUUAGUUUCAUUUAAUAAAGAGAGUUUCAUUUAAUAAGUCAUUUCUGGUUUCAUAUUUAUCCGCUGAAGCAAGGUGUGGUACAAGUCGAGUUGGGGUGCGACAGAAAGUUUCAUAUAGAUCCAAAUCAGAUGCUGUGCCAAGAAAGGAGACAUCGACAACAUAAGAUACUGGGGGUCAGGACCAGACAGACUGACUCAGUUGAAAUAGAAGAAUAGAAGAAGCUGCGGUGUCAAAGUAAGCAACUUGCAGGUCUGUUCGAGUGGAACUUACAUUAGAUAGAUAUUGGUAACCAAGGAUAGGAUAGGACACUCCUUCGCCCGAAAAGUAAGUCAAAGGAGAGUGUCGGGUGCACGGAUUUAUACUCUGCUAAGACAAGUUUACCGCUAACAGAGUUUCUGCUCAAUCCCAAUCGGGCAUACAGUUCUGAUUGAAUUAAUACUAGCUAGCUCUUAUUCUUUAUACUCCCAGUUGGGUCUUCAACUUUGGAUUAUUAUUAGUGAGGGGGUGGGGUCUCGUUUCAUUCCUCUACAGGCUGCCGCAUUCCUAUUCUUAUUGGUAGAUGUUUCAUUCUAAUAAGUAUUGGUAAGGUCUAUAGUUUGAAGAUAAUAAACAGAAUCAUAGGAUGGAGCUAGAGCUAGCUCAUGACCUAUCCUUUCAGACCCGCUUAUUCUUAUUUGACUCAUUUAUGUGACUCAUUUCGGGAGAUUGGAAUCGGUAAAGCAUUGCCUCUGAUACUUAUCUAUGGAAUUGGGCAAUACUCUUAAUAAGGGAGCGGGGGGGAUCUAAACUAUUCUGAUUAUUAGGAAUACCAGAGUUUCAGACCAGAGAAGUAGAUAGUUCUGAAUUCCACUCUUUCUUGCCAACCCAGUACAGUACGAGUAGGAAAUAGAGAGAAAAGCACCUGCUGCCCGGGGUAGUCAAUAGGCCAAGUCUCCAGUGUUUUAGAGUUAUGAGGUAGAUUAGAUUAUUGGCUAAAAUGCACCAGAGGGAUCGUUUCUUAGUUUCAAUGUACUAUUAGCCAUUAGCAGAGUUGACCUUAUGUUAAACGUAUAGAAAGAAGCCUUCUUGCCCAUUUGUAGUUACUUGUCUGGUAGUAGCUUGGCGGGUAUAGUAGCUUGAGUUAGAUGAGAUGGAGGCAAGAACAGAACAGAUAGAGGCGGACUGCUUUCCUGGCACCUACCUACUAGUGUCAAAAUACAGGUGACGAAUACAGCACUUGCUUAUCUUAAUAACUACUUCACUUGAGCAACUAGGAGCUGAGCUGAAUCUACUGUUCCAUAUUAUUAAUAUACGAGAACAUAUAGACUCGAACAGGCAAUAAGAGUUGACGAACACAGGACUCGGUAAGAACUUGUACAGACCCCCUGAGCUCCAAAAAACAGGACUUGCAGUAGUCGCCCUUACUUAUAUGAAAGCUGCUUGUCUGGCAUUGAAAGAGACUAUCCCAUACCGCAACACCUAUACCUAUUGCCAGAAUUCUUAAUUGAACUUAGUGAAUACCCGAUAGCCCUGCUUCAUCUCUUACAGCGGAUUCUGGAGCCUCUUCUCCGUGGGCAUUAGAAAUAGAUGCCUCACACACCGCUACGUGGGCAGUUUCUAUCUUUUUCUUGACUUUCAUAAUAGAAGUUAGUUAAUAAUAACAGAGAAUAUAGAAAUAAUAGAAUAUAAUGGAGAAUAGUUGAACAGAACCACUUUACGAUGAAACUAGAACAUCACUCAAAAGAGCGGGUAGGGCUUUAUACGCAGCACCCAUAAUAGGCACCCACAUCUAUUGCCUAGCCUAGCAUAUACAAGGAAUCCGUUCUUGUCUUAUUCUUAUUCAUAGACUUACUUGUUCCAUUCUGACAGUUUGAGUCUUCUAAGCUUGCCCUCUCAAGAUUCCUGUCCUGUUUGAGCCCCGGCAAAUGAUUCUUCCCAGGCUAAAAAGAGUCCUCCCUGACUAAAAGGAUUCUCUCUUUACUAAAAGGAGUCCUCCCUGUCUAAGUGCUGUGUGCAAUCCCUUUAUUUCAGUUAUGCGCUAAUAAAUCCUUCUUGUUGAAAUUCUGUUACUACGCAGUUUUGCUUGCGUUAGGUAAGUUUGAAGUGAGAAAUUCCAUUGAUGUUUGACUUGGCACAGUCGCAACAGUGUUUCAUGCUCUAACAGUCCUGUAGAAAGCUUGCAGUCCAGUGACAAAGUAGAAAGUGGCUUCCACCCUUAAACAAGACUGACUCUUAACACGUUAUAUAACAUAUUGAUGUUGCUACUGACGCCGAAAACAGAAGUGGGCUUGGCUCUUUGCCUUUGCCUAAUUCUUUGCACUUUCUUUGCCUUUGUAGUAGUUGGUAGUUGUGGCUGGGCUGUUGACUACUAGAGUUUCACUAGAGCUGCUCUUAUAGUAAGUUGUUUGUAUACUUAAGGGAGUUGCUAAGGUUAACUUGGCAGAUCAGAAGCUGUUUAAAGUAAGUCAUCAGCAAACGUUCAACGAGCCCAGAAUAAGCUUUAUCCUGAUUCAAAAGAAAAAAGGGAGACUAAGGGUGGAAAUGGAUUAAGGCAGGCCAGAUUCAUAAGAUAGAAAUUCUUAUAUGCUUGACUUGACAGUGAUGCGCAAGACUCAGUUAAGCGCUAAGUUGAGUUGUUGACUUUACUGGCGAAAAGGAGUAAGAUUGGUUGUCAACGAGAGAAUCCGCUGUUCGAAAGGAAGCUGCAAGACGCUCCUAAAGUAUAGAGUCAAGAAAAAGUCCUGUUUUCUGGUGUCAAAUUAAUGAGUUGGACUGUAGGAGAGUGGACAUAGUAGAUUCCACAAAAGAGGAGUUGACCCGCGAUGCUCAAAGGUAGACUUUCUUUGUUGACCGGGCAGUAACUAAAAUGAAGGGUGGGCUAUGUAUUGACUAUUUCUAUACCAACCGAUGUGCUCUUUACUUCAACUCAGACUUUCUAACUGAAACUAGCAAGUCAACACUUCAUUUAUGGAGAGCGCCAAUCCAAUAUCUCCCGUAAGCGCCGAGUACACUAAUACUUAUUCCCUUUCGAGCGCAUGUCUAUAUGUUAGUAAUCUGGCCUCCUUCUUGACCUCUAUGCGAUCAAAGCAACAAAGAAUUCAUUGAACUCUUUCACUUCCCUUGUUUUAAUAAGAUAGAUAAGAUUUAGAGGCUGUAGAGGCAGUAUCAGAGGCUAAAGAGCGAUAUCCAGCUUCUACUAUUUCCAUUCAUUAUUCUCUUUAUAAAGGAGAGUCAGCUGAUGGAGUCAAAACUACCACUGAACCACCCAUACAAGUAUGUAACCAAGCCCGACCCAACCCCCACUUCAAGUUCAGAAGAAGCCUACGAUGGGGCUGGAUCAGAUGAUGCAAUCGGUACCUAUUUCUUUGAUACCGGAAUUAGGCCUUGAUUCUUUAUAUCUUAUUGAUUAGUUAGUUCUUUAAAAACUGGGCUACGUUGCUUGGUUAGUAGUUACUGGGCCUGGUCUCUGUUUCUGUCCGGAAGGUAUUAGUAACUGACCUCAUUCUGUAAGGAAAGAGAACUGGGCUAGGGCAAGGUAGUGAACUCGUUAUCCGUGGCCAUUCGUACUCAUAAUAUUCUAAUGAGAAAAUCAAUGUCGAAACAACAUGUGCAGGGCAGGGCGAUCGGACGUGCAUGGUUCGUUCGUUCAUCUAUGGUUCCCGGGCAAACUACCUUGGACUUACUAGCUCGGUUCUUUAAGUACAAUAACUCAUUCAUUGAUUCUUCGGUCGACAUCCAUCCCCACAUGCAACAAUGGUCCCCGGGCAUAUAAAGUACCUCGGGAAUUCCUUCGUUCGUUCGUGCACCAAUGAAGGAUUGAAUGACAGCGGUGGUCGCUCGUGGGCUGAUGAUUGAACCUCCCGUGCGUUAUUGAAGACUUAGUUCCUGGCCGCUCGUGGACUGAUUGGUUCUACCUUUCAGAAUGAGGUUUCCUACUAGCAUUUAUUGUUGACCUACCUGUGAAUUAAUUACCUAGGGGCCGGACCACCAUGAACGAAGGUCCUACCAUGAUGCACGUACACGAUGGUGAUGGUGAUGGUGAACGAUCGCUCACUUAUUAAAGGUGGUCGCUCGUGGACUGAUGUGCUCCUCAAGGACUAUGUGUUUUUACCUUUCAUUUCAUAAUUAGUCCCUCGCCUAGGAGGUGUGAGCAAGCUUAUAUCCAAGGUCGGGCAAGUUUACGGACGAGGUCGUUCAAGCUUAUGGACUUCAAUCAAUCCCUGUUCGUUGUUGGUUGUUCGAUCAAUAUGUUCUCGUAUAGUAAAUAAAGUAAUAAGAAAAGAAAGAAAAGAAACACUCUAUGAGCGAGCAAAGGCUGCUUUGAUAUCUGUAGUGAAAGCCCUAUUCCGAUUAGUAAUCUCUAUGCCAAUUAGUCUAUUUGGGCAUGUUCCAAUCUAGUGGCGCAGUGCUCUAUCCGCCAAGUAAUGUAUAAUGUGUAGCGGCGUUAGUGACUUUCUUAUUGGAAGUAGCGAUAGUCCAUAUUUUCCACUUCGAUGUCUUAGAGCUAUGCCCGAUAUCCGGUAUUCUGUCUUUCAUUCCGGCUUUCCCUUAUUAGCAUCAGUAGGUAUUAGUAUUUGUAGGCUCCCCAGCCCGAUCAGUAUUAGGUAACUUAUGAGUUUGAUGCCCCAGUUCAAUUCUGUGACUUACUUGCUCGAUUCUUGUCAGCACUAGUCUCAUAUAUGGGUUGAAAAUGCACUAGAACAUCACUUUUGUAGUUUGAUGGCGGAUCCUUCAUUGAAACAUAUAAAUAUGAGAAAGAUAGAAUACCUAGCUCAUGAUUCUUUACCUAAGGUAACCUCCAAUGCCUUUCUCUUGCGCCUCUGAAACUCUCCCUAUCGGUAUGAAACAAGAACCAGAACUUUACUACCGGGAUUCCACUUCACGGGGCUCCUGCCGCAUCACCGAACACAUAGGGAGUCAGUAUAUGAAUAGGGUCAGAAUGGAACAAGCCAGGCUGGGUACUAAUGAGAAGGGCAAUAAUAAAUAAUUGCUAGCGCAUGAAGUAAUAGAAUGAAUAUUGUUAUAGAAUAGUUUGUAUAUGAAUUAGAAUAAGACAAGAUAGCAUUAGUUACUAAGAGGGAUAGAUCUAGCGCAUCUAGUAUAGGAGUCAAGAGUUCCGGUAUGAAAUACUAACUACAUAGGAGUCAAGAGUUCCGGUAUGAAAUACUAAAUACCAAGAGGAGAAUUCUGUACCGCCAAUUCCGUUUUAGGGGGCUCCGUUUCACAUGGGUCUGUAGAGGCUUGAAGCACCUUGCUUGUUCGAAAGCGCUUGCUAGUUCCCUUGCAUGGGGAGAUAUUCUUUAGUUGCAUCAUUUCCGUUACUUGGGGAGUUCCACUAUCUGCUCUCGGGGCGCUAACGGGCGAAGCCCUGCCCUUGUGCUUGUUGAAUGGAAUCUAGUGAACCAAACCAAAUAUAAUAGAAGAUAGUAACAACACCUUACUACUGACUCUUUCCUGACUCACUUACGGCUUUGCUUCUAAAACUCACGAUCGAACUCCACUCUACCACUUAUUGCCUUAUUGCCCGGUGCACCACGAAAGUAAUUUAUGACUUGUGAAUCUAGCAUAUCGAGAAGAACCCCGCUUUUCAAGGACAGAGGCAGAGGUCUCCUUUCGAAGUUUCUACUUGCUAAGUUGUGCAUGCAUUAGCUAGUUCCAUUUCCAGCCCCGAGUAGUGGUAAAAGUAGCAUAUGACAGAAUCUAGUAAACAAGCAGCUUCCCGUUCUUUAUUAUUCUAUUUCCUACUUUACUAGGUGUUCGAUAGACUCAAUGAAAAUCCAUUCCAAUAUCAGUUGAGUAAGCUGUUAGCUUUGGAGUAAAGGAAUACAGUACCAGUAGUGAGUAAGCUGCAGAAUGGACGGAUUUGAGGGCCCUUAGCACAAGGUGUCUUAGAGAGAGAGAAUCGUAAGUGACAAGAUCAUAUCUGCGGGAUCCUGAGUUGGCGCAAGGCAGGCAGCAGCAAAGCAAUAUAUAAGUCUCUUUUUGUUCCUUGAAAAAGGGAAUAGACAGACACUUGACAAACUCAAUAUUCUAUACCAGGUUAGCCGGAGGUAUUGAGAUAGAAUAGCGACCCUAUUGCUCUUAACCAACCCAUCCCUACUAAACAGGGCUUACUCAUAAGUUGACUACUGACUCCCUUCUUAUGGGCUUACUCAUAACUAGUAACUGACUUCAUAGCCUAGUAACAGAGGAAUUCCACAAGCCUACCCCUUAACUAGACACAUGGCAAAACAGGACCUGAACAAAACACAUGAUAGGCAAAACUAACCCAUAAUAGGCGCAACCACAUCUAUUCUAGCGACACCCCCACUAUUCAUUCCAAACACACUCUCGACUAAGAAUUCCACUGAAGCGACUACCUUCUUGCCCUCACUGGGUUGAUUCUUUAACUACUUAGGUCAGAGUUCACUUUCAUUCUCACUUUCCAACUAGCUCCUACUAGCUCCUACUAGCUCACCUCUGAGUACAAUUAUAUAACUUAGUUAACAAGGCUUAUACCCACUAGUUCCAUUCCGAUACUGAGAUUGACUGGUUUCACUCUUAGCCACGCCCCCGCUGGUUCAUUCUUAGUCAUAGGAGUUUCAUUCUGACCUUUGAGUUCACCCCGACCCGAGUGGAAUCAUAUAUAAAGAGAAGAUCUAAUUUAGUAUGAUUUCCUCUACUGUGUCGGUACUAGUGUCUUGGCCACCUGUUUUUCGGUUAAUUUAGCUCUUUCUACAGUGUUAAGUCCACUACCCUAGCCUCGUAUAGGAAUUCCAUAACUACCCUAACAAGCAAGUAAGUAAACGACACUACCCAAGUAAGUAAACCAGCCGACCCUACCCUCGUAUAGGAAUGCAACUCUUAAGUAGAAGCCUUAAAGCCAGGGCAGUGAGACUGAAAGCAAAAGGAUAGUGAUACUGAGAUGAAGUAGCGUAGCGGCAGGCUCGGAGAAGGGGGGCGAUAGACUGUAUUCCUAGUUGAGGGCUAUAAGUCCUGUUAGUCAAGGUUUCGUUCUUGUACUUCUUAUAGUAGUUUGAUCACUUUGGUAGUUAGUUAGGUCUAUUAGCGAACUAGUGGAUCCUUGCUCCUAUUAUUAGUUGUAAGGUUGGAAAGAGAAGAAGGGGAGGCACACAGGCUAGGAUAAAUCAAGGGAAGUCUAAAUAUGUUCCCCCGGGUUGCAAAUAUUGUUCAUAGUGGUUCGAUUCGUAUAGUUAUUAGUUGGAUUCUGAUUAUAAGUCAGUUAAGUCUAUUCCAGUAUGUGCUACAUCGUACCUAUGAGUUGUGGGAAUACCUAUUUGUGGUGUGUGUCGUCAGGUAGUAAGCCCUAGAUAAGGGAGAUAAAGAAAUGAAUAAGGGAGUUUCUGUUUUCAAGUAAGCAGUAGAAACCUAAGGCAUUAUAAUCAGAAUAAGUGAUGUGUUCGUACCUGGGUAAAGGAAUAGACACCACACUCUGGAUCAGAGGGAAUCCAAAUAAUAAGUCAAUAAUAAGUAAGGAUGCAUCACCAGAGGAACUCGAAUGGAAAGUGAGAAAGUAAGCCCGAGAGGCAGUAAUGCAAAGGUGUGAUAUCGGGUAGUGAAAGCCCAGUUUCAAGUUCCAGUAUUGCUAGCAGUGUUUUGAUUCUGUAUUAUUGGUUGGAUUCCCUGAGAGGGAGGUGUCCUAUAGUGAUAUAAAGUCAAGUACUACUGAUAGCUAGUGCAGUUUCGUAGGCAGUAAGCAAGGUUUGAGUUAAGUAGUUGCAGAGCCAAAAGAUAGAUCUAGGUUUAAAGCAAGUAAGGAGCCCUGCCCGAAGCAAGUAAGUAUCCAAAGCAGUAUUUAAGGAAUCCGAGUAAGGGAAGUCAUCCUAAAAGGCGAGUACAGUAAGUCAAGUCGUUAGGAAAAUCAGAAUCAAAGAAAGGGCCAAGCAAGUACUAUACUUAUGACUUGUCUCGGCCGAGCACUCCCUUAUAUCAAAUCGGUACUCUUGCCUCUUAGCCUAACACCCUAUACUUAAAUUCUCUUACUUAUUAUCGCCAUUCUGACUUGCAAACAAACCCCCGCUCCUGUCUACUACUACGGAUGAUAGGCUGUUACCACUCACUAUGGCUUUAGCCUACCCUUUCUUCAUCUAAGGCUCGCUCCCCUUGCUUUGAAACUAUUUCUCCCCACCUUAACUCUUUAACUCAUGCCUAAUAACCUGUCUUUACAACUUCUUUUCAUUCCAUUCCUUAACUAAUAACAAGGGCUCUCGCUACAGCUUCUAAGACUAAUGGCUAUUGCUGUCAGGACUUCAGUUACUGCCUAACAGGCUUACCUUUCUGACUUUAUAUAAAAUCGUAGUUGGCUUAUCGGUCUAUGAAUGAUACUGGAAAUAAGUAAUAAGUAAUCAAACUGCACCUAUAGACUCGAACAGUUACUCAUGCUUUUCACUCUCUAGCUCCUGAUCUCAUAUCUUGACUUUCUAUAGAAGCACGAGAUUCAUAGCUGGCUCUCUCGCUUCUAAUUCUGAGUAUGUCUCUCCCGUCUUUAAGGCUGCCUUUCCUUUCUUCUAUUCUUUUCUUUCACCGUUGAUCCGGACCUUUGCUUUAUUGUAUUGUAUCUUAGCCUACAUCUCCUGUUUAUUGGUCUGUGGCUACUUCCUGGCAUCCUUGCUUCCACAGAUAAGUCUACCGAUCCUUAAACUCAGCACUAGCAUUCUGGAUUUCACCUAUGAGCCUGCCUCUUUUGUCUUUUAAACGGAUAUUUGCUUGAGAAUAUUCUGACUAUCCUUUGUCUCGGCCUAUCACUACUGCCUUCAAGUCUGCUCUUCCUGUCUUUGAUUCUGAUUCUACUCUAUUUACUACUAUCUGAGAAGUUUGACUCUAUUUACUACUAUACUAGAGCUAGCAAUACCUUAACAAGUACGGGCAAGGCGGGUAUUACUAUAGUGAGAAUGAAAUUCCAAUAGGUAGGAUGAAACCACUGAUUGAAAGAAUAAACACCGAUAACAAGACAACAGCCUUCAAGUCAGAACUAUACUAAUAUAAAUGACUUUUCUCCUCCCCCGUCGGAAUAGACUAGUGCACAACCCCCCGAGUCAGAAUCGAAUCUUACCCGACAACAUUCAACUAACUACUCCCCAACCCGAGGUCUGUAACAAGGGAUUGCACCACAGCUAGCAAGGCUAUAGGCUUACACAAUACGCUAAUAGAGGGAACGGAGCCCCAACUUGAUCAAAGCUGUCCUUCCUUUCUCCUAUUCUCUGUACUACUCUUUGUAUUCUUUAUUUCACUCAGAAUUCUUCUACUAAUUACCUAGAACCCUGCUUCACUCAACUAUAACCUGGCUCGUGAGUUUAGGUAUUCCCCUCCUUGCUGUUAGCCAGCCUCUCCUUUAUCUAGUUCUUCACUACUAAGAGCUAUUGUAUAAGAAUAAGUCAAUCAAUGCUAUUACACAUAAGAAGAAGUAUCUCGAUGGCGCAUCCCUCUUUUCUGGAAUUCUGAGAUCAAUAUCUCCAUUCUCCAUAUCUCUAUUACCUCUUUGACUCUCUGUUUCACCUCGGAUUCUUUGCCUACUGGGCGUAACCCUUACUGCUAUGGGGAGUGGAUCUGACUUUAAGUAAUGCUAACGAUACUUGCACUGGAAACUGGGGCUUCUCAUAACCAACCUCAAAACAGGCAAUCCACAGCUAAUACCAUUGGAACUAAGCUCGCUAGCCAUAUUCUUUCAACCAUGUUCUUUAAACACAUAUCUAUUGGCCGCGUAACAUUAGGUCUCUUCACUUGUGGGUUUGUCUCCCUUUACUGGUACUAUAAUAAGGCUUCUUUCACUCUGUCCUUCCCGACUACUGGUCUAAUUAUCCUGUCUCUAUUUCAGUUACUGCCGGUACUUACUUUAGAUCCUGACUAUUAUAAGUAUACAGCUACUUGCUCUAAACUGUUCUUUCUUGAUGACAGUCUGAUUCCACUAUUCCGAACUCCCUCUUAAGGGAUUCAACUAAUUCACAAAGAGACUAUCCUAAAGGCAUCUAGAAAGCUGCCCUCGCUGAAGCUUAUUAUUCUUCUGGUUGGGCCUGUAGCACUCCCUUCCGGUAAGGGUUUAGCGCUUAACCAACUUGGACCCCAUAGAAAAGCGAGUAAUCAAUAAGAUAAGUUAGGCAAUAGCAUCAGUAGAAUCAGGAUAGGUAGGCAAUAAGUAGAAUAAGGAGAAAUAGGCAAUAAACCGCUAAUCGAUAUGAUAUAAAAUAACGUUUACAACAAAUACAUAAUGAGUAGGGCCAUUAGGAUACUUUCACUAGUACCGAUAAGAAUUAGAGGCGUUUAAGUUCAAUACGGAUUGAGAUGUCAGUAGUGGAAGUCCUGUUUCCUGUAUCGCUAUGGGUUUACUUGCUCUCGUUCUUACUGCUGUAUUUGAGUCUGAUAGCAAUGGUUCCCCCCUAUGGGUGGAGAGUACAAAAACGGAAGAAAAUCACUGGUAACAAGGUGCGAACUCAUACUAAAAGGAUGCAACGGGAACUCCAGCUACUACCGAUAAGACCUUAGCUCACAACUAGGGCUUGCACGACCUAUUUAAAGAAUGGAACGGAGAACUAGGGCGGUACCUCUAAGAAAGUAACUACAACAAAAAAGGAUUGAGCACAGAACUAAGGCUUUGACUCCUGUGUGGGACAUACGGAUCUUUUGACCGUAUCUUAUGGCCUGUGACUCCUUGCUAUGACUCUUGCCCCUCUGACUUGUAUUCUCCUAUAAUUACUGAUCCUUACUUGUAUUCUGUAGUUCGAGUUAGGGUCUUGCCUCUCCCUAUGAACUGAAAGUAUUGCUUGUGAGUUUGAGUAUCCUAAUUGCCUACUUCAUUCAUUAUUCCGUUUAUUUAGAUUAAUGAUUAUGUUAACUUAUAUUGAGAUGUAUUGAUAUAUAUGGACAUGUAUUGAUAUGUGUUUUAUCGUACUGUAAUUCGAGCGAGGAGAGUCCACUAUAGCUCGACAGAAGGAGAGGAAAUCAAUCAAUAAGGGGUAGGGUUUAGUACCAUACGCCGGGUGUUGUUGUGCCAUAUACUAGGCGCGGGUUUCAAUCCAAUCAAUAGGUGUGUUGCGUGUAGCAAGGUAUAGUUUGGAAAUGCAAAAUCCCCGGGAAGGUAAGUUGAGAGGUAUAGCUUAGCUCGGGAAGGAGAGGUCUAGUUCGGGAAGGGGCAGACGGAUUUGCUAUGUUUUUCACAGGGGCUUAGUUCCCGCCCAAAAGCUUCAUUGUUAUAGUGGAAUCCAAUGUCAAAGUUGAGUUCAUUGCUAUGCUAGAUGUCGGAUGUAAAGAAUAAUAGUAAUGUCAAGAAGAAUAGUACGUAGACGGGCGAAGGCGAUCGAUCCUAGAGUGUGUUUGUAUUGUAUGCCAUACCUAGCCUAGGGUUUCAAUCAAUGUUUCUUCAAUCAAUGUUUCAAUCACCAUACUCUGGUGAAAAUCCAUAGGUGUGUGUUGCCCCGGAGAGUCCUUAGAGUGUUUUUACUUGCUUCUGUCUUUUCUCAUGAUAAUACGGAUGCACAUACUAGGUUAGUUGGCAAAGAAAUCAAUCAAAAGAUGUAGGGAGCGUUGGUAAAGAAGGAGCUCAUGUCCACUUUAUAGCAAUGGUAGGCGAGAAGGAGCACGUACUAUAUACUCUAAGGUUGGUUCAAGUAUAACUAUACUAUAGGUUGGUUCGAGUGAAGUCAAUUCGGAUUUAGUGCCUAGAUUCAUAUUCUCUCUCAUGUGUUUCUAUGCUUAUCUAUUAUAUUAUAUUACAUAUGUUUCUAUGCUUAUCCAUUCCAUAUGUGUUUCUAUGCUUAUCUAUUAUCUUAUUCUAUGCUUAUCUAUUAUCUUAUAUAUUAAUACAACCAAGAUGUAGUAUAUUUGGUGCAAGCAUUCAUUUCUUUUCGCCUAUCUAUUAUAUCUUAUUUUUUCUCACACUUUUGUAUCUUUUUCUCUUGUCUCUUCAUUCUAUAUUAGUAGGGUAAAUUAUAGUCGCAUUCCUGUUAGCACUAAUUGAGUUCUGACUUUUGCCCCAGCAACUGAGACGGAUCCUCACUUAUGGUAUAGGCGUUAGGGUGUGAAAGUAAAGGCUUUCAAUUGAUUCUAAGCUCGAGUAGAGGUCCUCAAUGAUCUAUUUCCCAUAAAACCCCGUAAGUGCCGUUCUAGUUCAUUUGACACUAAUCACUAGUAAGCAUCAGAAUCAACAACACUACCAGACCAGUGAGCAUAGGGCUAGGAACCUAGACUAAGCAUGGUAACCCAGGGACGCCUACGG
rnacentral:lncRNA from 1 species